rnacentral:lncRNA from 1 species
GAGAGAGAGAGAGAGAGAGAGAGAGAGUACCCUCUUGAUGUAGAAACAUGGAGUUAAGGAACGCAAAACCUUGAGAUGCUCGUUCAUUUGUCUUCUCCUGUUCCUCUCCACAGCUAUGUGAGACAUGGUUCUGGAUGUAAGAGAGAAAAAGCUUGUAAGUUUGUUCCUUUGUUCUCUGUCUCUUGCACGCUAACACUCAAUCUGUUUCUCUCUCUAUAUAUAGAACAGCGCACCACAGUAUAUCUAGAUAUAGGGGGGCCAUAUCUAUAUUCGUCGACUAGGGUUUUCAUUUAAUGCUGCGUGUUACACUCUCGUGAGGUUAAUUAGUUUUACACUUGUACCUUUCUCUCUCUCUCAAUAUCUGUUUCUUUCUCUCUCUACAUAUAUCUAUUUUGUGUGUAUAUAUUUCGUCUCACGUUUAUGAUCUUGGAGCAAUUACAUUCCCCGCGUACAGAUAAAAGAAAAAGGGUAAGUCUCAUGCACAAUACCUGCUUCUUUUGCCUCUCUUCAUGCAUGCCACGCUCGAUUCUUCAUCACUCCAACUGAAUCUGUAUACCCACAUUCUAAUAACCCGACUUGAGAUUCCGAUUAAUCUUGUUAUAAUGAGUAGCUCAAGUUCAUGGAAUUCGACUUAUGUAAUUAUUUGUUUGAGUUUGUGGACACUUAAUGAUAUAAAUUCGCCCUCAAAAGUAUAGAAAUUAAUAAACCCUUCAUAUUUUGUUUUCGAUAAAAAUGAUGAUAUUUGUAGUCGCUCUACGUGAAAUACAUGUGACGGUUAGUGAUUUGAUAUAUUAAUGUGGUUGUUGUUUAUUGUCUUAUAUUUCAAAUCACUAAUAGAUACGUAUAUAUCACGUAAAGCAACUACGGUAGUGAAUGACUGUAAAUAGGAUUAUUCUUCUACUAAUACGUAUAAUAGAAAUUAUUCCAUUGUUAUUCAUUUUGUUUCUAGUUAAGCUCCUGUUUAUCCACCAUUAUUUAAUUAAAAGGAGUUUUGGAAUAGUGAAUUUUCAAAAAAUGUAUUGUUUUUUUUUAGAUUUAUAUGAAAAAUAUUUUAUUAUUAGAAUGUGUACUUGAAAAUAAAUUUGAGAAAAAAAGAGUUUUGAAAUUGUUGUGUUGUGUGCUUUUAUAGUAUAUUUUGCUAUGAUAAAAACAAUAAUUUAUAAUAAAUAGAUUAUGAUUUUAUUUAUUUAUUAUUGAAUAUACGAAUUAAAGUGCAAAUGAUCACUUGUGAUAUUAUAAGUUAAGUACUUACGUCGAGAAGUAUAGUGUGACACAACUUAUAUUUUGAUUAUAAAUAAUUUAUUUACAACCAAUGUAUAAGAGUUGACACAUUGUACCGGAAGAUUGUAGUGUUGAUUGAUUCACUAUUCAAAUAUGUAAUUUGUUCUUAUUACAAAAAUAAUUAAAGGUGACACUAGUACACUUGAAGGGUACUGAAUGGACCACAUGUUCAGUUCUAUAGCAUGACCGUGAAAUGAAUUAAAUUUCGCUUGAUUGCUUUAUAUAUUGUCUAAAUCCUAUGUGUGUGUAUAUAUAUAUCCGUGAUCUUAAUGGUUAUUUGAUUCACCAAUGGAUGAGAUCAACUUGAUUAAUUAAAUAUCUUAAUGAGUUGAAAACUUGAGAAUGAUUAAAGUAGAGAACAUGAAUUUGUGUCGAGAAUCGUCAUCCUGAAAAAUGGGUAGAGUGGCUAUUUAAGUAUUUUUUGUUGGAUUAUUAGAACUGAGUAUUUAGUGACGACUAAACUUUGGCAUCUGUGAUUAAUUCACAAGACCAUUGAAGAAAAUGAUAUUCAAGUUAGUGAGAAUAAUUAGAAAGAAAAAAUAGUCAUUUAUACUCGUACCUAAUUAUCAGAUCUCGAACAGGGAUAAAAUACAUAUAUGACAGACCAGAGAAAAAUAUUACAAAUUUAUGGACUUCUAUAAACUUAUACAUUCCAAAAGUUCAGUCUUUUGCCUUUAGUGAAAAAAAAAAAAAAAAAAAAGAAGAAGCAAAGAUUAAUAAUUAGAUUGAGUGGUAUAAGAUCAACUAUAUAUGAUCUAAUUAUUGGAGCUUAAAUAAUAUAUGUCCAAUCAUACCCCUGUGAUAACUUUUUAAAGUAUUGAAACUUAAUUACGAUAAUUAUAAUAGUUUUGGACUUAAUAGUAAUUGCAAUAAAAUUUUGUACUUAGUUGUAAUUAUUAUGAAAGUUGUAAACUUAGGGUCCAUUUGAUUGUAAGAAUGAAAUUUAUGUGAAAGAAAAAGAAUUUCAAGAAAUUGAAUUGCCUAAAACUUGUUUUACUGGAAAUUGUCAGUAAAUGUAUUUGAUUGGUAUAAUUUUUCAUAUAAAAAAUGUUGAAAUUUUGAAUAUUUUGGUAUUUGUUUGGCUUUGAUUUUCAUAAAAAUUGUCAAUUGAAAAGAUAUAGUUUGUUACAAUUGUGGAUAAAAUUUAUUUCUAUUGUCCAAAAAAAUAAAAAUAAAAAAAGCUGGGAAAACCAUUUCCCACCAAAUCCAUGGAAAUUGAUUUUUCACAAAAUGAAGGAAAAAGGUUUACGUGGGAAGGGGAAGGAAAAUGAAUUGCCAAGAAAAUUAUUGCUAUCAAAUAGGCCAAAAGGUGGAAAAUGGAAAAUAUUUUACAUUUUCCAUGAAAAAUUCUUCAUAUCAAAUAGGCCCUUAAUUAUAAUUGUAAUUGAAGUUCUAAGUCUACAUUUGUAAUUAAAUAUAAACUAAUUGGAUUUGGACUUUAAUUAACACUUUGAAUUUUAAUUAAAACUCUUAUUUGAAUGCAGAAUUAUUAUUGUAAAAGAAUUGAAACUAUUUUAGUUUUAUAAAUAAAUAUUAGAUGGAACCAAGAUAUCCUAUGGGAAUGUACAACAAUCAUGAUGCAUAAUUUCAUAGUGUUCAAAUUUGGAGAGAGAAAAAUAGAGAAAAUAAUUAUUUUCUCAUUUUAUUCAAUUGUCCAGUUCAAAAAUUAAUUUCUCAAUUUAAUUAAAAAAUGUGUUCACUCAUAAGUCUAGUCUUGAUUUUGGAGAAUACCAUAGAAAACUAGGGCAGUAAGCAAAAAUCACAAAACUGGAAAAUCGAACUGAAAUCGCAUUUUAGAAACCGUCAGUUUGAUACCACGUGGACCCGGUCAACGAAAUGAUUUUGAUCCAAACCAAACCGGUCAAAAUGGUUUGGUUUAGGUUUGAGAAUUUUAAUUGCGGUUUAAAACCAAAUCGGACCGGCGAAAAAAUCUAUAAAAAUAAAAAAAUGAAAAAAAUGAAAUUUUUUGAAAAUUCAUCCAAAUAUGUAAAAUUCAAUAGUUUUGUCAUUUGUGAGUAUUUUUGUCAAUUCCUAAUUUUCUAAUACAGAUAUAUUAUUAUUAUUAUUAUUAUUAUACAAUAAUCAUAAUAUAUAUUUAAUAAUUUCAAGACUAAUAUAAUCUAUCAAAAACAUUUUUCCUCUUUAAAAUUUAGAUGAACUCCAGUCGAUACCCAACACAGUUUUGAGCCACCGGCACACACUUCUUUUUCAGAUUUUUCACGCCUCUUCAAAGUUGAAUUGAAAUCCGUUAUACCAAAUCAGAGACAAAGAGAUCCUAGACCUUCGGUGAUAAUACUUGCCACAAAUAAAGUUUCAGAUCAAUAAUUUUUUUGAGCAAACUAAGGUAAGAAUCUGAAAUUAAACGUGUUUCGUAACAUCAUAUAAACGUAAAUUUGUGUAAUUGUUAUGUUAAGAUAUUAUAAACAAUUGCUUUAUUAUUGUGGUUGGUUAUUCUCUUUGUUUAAUCAGUAUCCUUUUUUUUAGAUAUGAUGAUUACGAGGUCUUGUUGGAUAUCACUAUGUUUUUUGGACCUUAUAUCUAGUUUAGUAGACUUGUAUUGUAACGUUAUUGUAUUGUCAUUAGCCUAAAAAAGGUGAACAAAAAUGAAAAAAAAACUAUGUUUUAGUUUAUUUUGACUUCACUUUGAUUUAGUUGAUAUUUAAAUUUAUAGCAGAUAUAUUUAGCCCCUGUUUGAGCCAUAGUUUUCAUAUCAUCAUAAUGAGAAAAUUAAUUAUUGGAGAGGAGGCUGAGUCGCACACAUGAAAUAGCAGGUCAACGAAGGUGGCUGGUCUUGUGGAAUAAUGGUCCAAAUUUUCAUUUUUUUUGUCCCAAAAAUUUGGUUCAAAUAGGGGCUUAGUUUGUUUUAGAUUUAUUACUAGUGAGAUAUAAAUAUAUAUUAAAUUCAAUGAACUAAUGGCAUAAAAGUAGACUAGCAAAAAAUAUAUGGCGAAAUCGGCGGUUUAAAACCGGACCAAAUCGUUUGGUUUAGGUUUGAGUUUUUUUCAAACCGUUCAAAAUGGUUUGGUUUAGGUUUCGGUUUUUCUCAAACCGUUUUAAACGGUUUGGUUUGAAAAUUUGUCAAAAAUCGGUAAAAUCGGACCGCUUACACCCCUAUAGAAAACUUAAAGGUUUAAAGCAUCAAGUUCUUAGAAUUAAAAAGAUGGAAGUUCAUGAUUCAAAAUUAAUUAAAAAAUUGAUCUUCGAAUUUAGGUAAAAAUUUGAAUCAUUUAUUCUUGAUAUAACAUACACGGGAACAUCUAAACAAUCUUGUUUAUAGAAUUAAAGAAAACUUUCAAUUUUUGGAUAAUUUCGCAUAUGCAUUCCAACAAAAAUAAUGGUAACCAUAGAGGAGCUAGAUAUAUUGUUUCUCUCAUAGUUUCCUAAUAUUGAACAGAGGUUGUAAUUAUGUAAAACCUUGUGAGAAUAAACUUUCUAACACUGUUAUCAUGUUUACAUAACAUUUCGUUUUGUUAUAUGUUGAAAUUGUUAAUUAAAAUAUAUUUAUACAUGGCUUUAGUGUUUAAUCUCUAUAAACAUCGCAUGUUUGAUAAGAUCAUCUAUGAAAUAAUAGAUGGUAAUUAAGUAAAGAAACCUAAAAUCUUGUCUAAUGUAAUAUUCAAUCGCAUUCAGCAUUGAAUACCAAAUUAAAUACAAGUAACAGGGUACGAACAGUUCAGUGAAUGUACAUACAAAGUCGAGGAAUAAACUGUUGGGAUCAAUUUAUCAACUCAUCAGGCAAUACAACUCAAUCCCACAAGUUCUCACGUUUGUGUUAGGAACGAGACGAGGUUAUACGGUAUGAUAUGAAAUAUUGAUCACAAACAACAAGAACACAAAGACAAAAAUUUAAUUUGGAGGAGAAAUUAGAGAUUUUAUUCAACAACUAUAAUGGAAAGAAAAAAACUGUAAUUAUGUUCUUACACGAUGAUUCUAACAUUUAAGUAUUACAAAACUUGUAAAGAAAGGUCUAAUAUUUAUAGGGGUGUACACCAAACCUUAGAAAUAACCCUAAAGAUGGAAGCUAGAUCAAGAAAUCGUGUGAAGGGGAGAAAUAUGGAAAAAUUCAGACUGCCAGCGCUCAAGCGCUAGUCUCUCGCUAGGCAAGCGAUGGAAACGAAAGGCACACUGCUCCAAAUCUCGACCUACCGUUCAAGCGGUAGACGAGCGUUAUUCCAACACCGUCGAAACCUAUUUUUCCUCUUGGGGCCAAUUUUGAUGUCUCCAAACCCAAUAUUCCAAAUCACGAGUACCCUAAUCGGAUUUGGGGUCACAAAACUCAAUAGUUAGAACCCCCAAAAGUUACCAUAAACAAAUUGCAUGGUCAGAGACAAAGUUGAAGAUAGUGCUCGAAGAGUGCUCAAAGUUCAGUAAGGAUACUGCACAUGAUCACUAACAAAAGUAACAAAUUGCAUGUUUGGUGUUAUUAAUAAACAGUUAACAUCAUGGACUAAAUAAUUUUUCACUGUAUCUGUUUGAUAGAUUUUCUAUAGAAUCAAUUUUGUUUGCCAUUUUUGGGGUACAAUCUUGUCUCAUUUACAAUAAAACUAGUGAAUUGCUGAAGUUCUAUACCCCAGCAGCCUUUCCCAUCUUCGAUCCUGCAUUAAAGAAUAUAUUUAGUGGAAAAGGGAAACUGAAAUAAAACUGCAUUUGACAAGGAAAUUUAAGGUAAUAAACACUGAAGUAUUUCCCUGCAAGAACAUGUUGACAUAGGGAGUGAGGCAAAACAAAAUGUUUGCAGCGUAUAUUGUCACCGUCUAGCAAAUACCCAAGCAGAAUUGAUAAUAUGACAUAUGUCUUGAGCUUUUUCCCAAACCACAAAUUAGCUACCGUGAGGUACUAACUAAUAAUUUUGUGGACCGAUACCACCUUUUGAUAACAUUUCUCAGAAAUUUAGCACAACCAUAACAAACCAGUCCAUUACAUGAUUGAUAAAAAUGGAAUGAUCACGCUUUCUAGCCCCCAUUUUUUGAAAUGAAAACGGGUGGAAUAAUAUUUUUUUGAAAAAUAAAUGGUUGAAAAAUAAGAAAAUGUUUUCGGUUUUCUUCAAUUGAUAUGUCAUUCCCUUCGGUCGCCCAAAUAGAAUUGGAUAACUUGUAUCCACGAGGAUCUGUUAUGUCCCUAAUGCAUCACAGGCCCGAGUCCUUCACUCUUGGAAUGGACGGGCCAGACCUUCAAAGAGGCAUUGGGAGUGCUAGGUCCCGUGCCCCUAAGGUAACUAGAGUGUCAACCCUUAUCCAAUGAGAGUCGUGGGUUUUCUAUACAUUGCCAUCAUAAAACACGUCAUCUUCACAACAGGGUAUGAGUAUAGUAACACCGGACAAUGGACCCACUUAUUUGCACAGCAAACUACAACAAAAAAGUGCACACAUCAAAAAUAAAAUAAAAUAAAAUAAAAUGAAAUGAAAAAGAACACAAUAAAUAAUUUUUCUUUUUAACUCUUAGCCCACGUCAAUAUUUAUUUGUAUUAGAAGUUUUCUUGAGAUGAUUCAAUCUCUAAGCCAGUUCUUAUAGAUAGUAUUGCAUGAAUAGUAGUAGAAUGCAUGUCUCCCAGAAACCUCUACGACAACAUAUAACAAAGUAUGUAGUACAGGUAGCAAUCCACAAAAAAAUGGGAAGAAUAUAUUGAGGCGUCUUAAUUAUGUUUACCAAUAUCACCAACAUGGACAUAGAUGACAAAUUUGAUCCUCAUAUUAAACCACCAAUGAUGCUCCCGAAACAAUUUUUGCAUCUACAUUUAUUCAAAUAUUUUUCUUCAAUCUAGUUUUAUUUGCAAUUCUAUAUUCAGGUACUCAUCACAUAUAUUUUUUGCUCCUCAAAAACAUGCCUUGUUUAAAAGUUUUGCUAAAAUUUCUCAAGCGAACAAACUAUCUUGUUUAAUAACAAUUCUAUGAUAAGCCAACUCUAUAAGUUAAACAAGCAAGUACCUUGAAGAGAUCUCUCCAAGUUUUCCAGUUGUGAAAUAAAGCCAGAGUUGGAGAUACAACUGGUCUUUUUCUCUUCACGUGUUCCAGAGCUUCGGAUAAGCUAAUGCCAAUCUUCAUCAUCAGAUAAGCAACAACAAUGGUCACACUGCAAAGUACAACAACUAAAUCAAAUUCAAAACAAAAACUCAAACAAACAUGGAAUACAUUUUCAAAGUAAAAGUUUGAUGUUAAAAUAUUUUCAGGAAUAACAUGGACAUAUCAAACCCAAGGCAAAGGCAAUUAAUUAAGUCAUCCGAAAUUCUGUUUCUGAAUAGAAUAAUAAUUUAAUAGCAGCUAAGAUUCCCCUUUCAGAACUCACAUUCAUUGUUUCCUUUUGCAACUAACCCACUUAACAGCCUCACAUAUCAAUCAUGUAGCAUCAGUAGGCUCGAUUUUGGGGAAAGGAUGUGCCCAAUAGAGGGGGCUGUCAACUCUAGCCAGCAAGAUUUUAAGACAAGUAGGCUCACAUUCAGCCUUUACAUUUGCAACUAUAAUUGCAGCUUUACGUUUCUAUCACGCAGCAUCAGUAGGCUCAAUUUUGUUGAAAGGAUGUGUCAAUGAGAGAGGGCUAUUAGCUCAAGACAGCAAGCUUUUUAAGGCCAGCAAUGAACUGUAAUAAGAGAAACAGUUGGAAUAAAGGUUAAAAUUUUAGCGGAGGAAUUUAACUAGAAAUUUGGUGAUAAAAAAGAAAGGUUUCAGGACUGUUUGCAGAGGUUGCAAUGAUGGAAUGAUGUUAGGAUUAAGAAGUAAAAGUGAAAUAGAACCUACUCUCAAAAUAAGAAAACACCAUAAAAAUGUAGUUGUUCACUCUAUACUAAGUCCAGCUCCUACUUCAAACAUAUAUAGGCAGACUAGACAUGGUGGUCAAAAUAAAGUUGCAGGCUAAGAAAGACUGGAGCAACUACACGACCUAUUGGAUGACACUGUACAUUUAUUAACCAUCACAAUCCAAUAUUGGAUUUUUCACAUUACAUAAACAAAAUAUCUACAAUGAGUUUUGCGUGUUACUUGAUUACUUUUGAAGUGACAUUAUAAUAUACUCACAUCGGGCAUGGAAUUUAUACUACAGAUGUCACAAACAAUCUCCAUUAAAGGACUAUAUUCAGGAUUUUCUAGUGGAUCUACGGAUAUUAUACUACAGACGUCACAAACAAUCUCCAUUAUAUUCAGGAUUUUCUAGUGAAUCUAAGGAUAUUGCAAUGGUCCACGUACUGCCAACUCAUCAUUGAAUAGUGCUGGAACAUAAGUACAUGAUCCAACCAAGGUUCCAACAACAUCUUGAAUGUUUGCCAAAUUUGAAAAAGAAAAGAGUCCACAUGUUUUAGGAGGACUCUUAGCGUUGGUUUGGGAGACAAACUUUCAAGUGAAAAAUGAAACUUUUUUUUCAAGCAUUUGGGUUGAAAAGUGGGGAAAAAUGCGAGUCCCAAUAAAAUGUAUGGUUGAAAAUGGUUCUUAAAAAAUCUCUCCAAAACAAACCCUUAGUUCAUUUCUAAAUUGACGAAGAAAAGAACAAAAAUAGCUGCAUUGCACAGUGGUUAUGUUUUAGGAAAAAUGCUCUAUUUUGCCUUGUCAAAUACCUCCUCCAGAAUUAUACUUGCUAAAAGGAUUCAGAUCGGCCAAUACAGAGCAAGGACGGUGGUAUACGGAACAGUUGAUCACAUAUUUAAGCCAUUGGAGAACAUUCCUAUGUGUAUUUGUCCACGACAAAACAGGUCAAAACUCAACAUUACUCAAAUUGCACAGUACUAAGCAAUCUCUAGAACAUCAAUAAACAAGCUUUACACGUCACUCUUUAAAUUAAUGCAAUUAAGUUAAAGCUUGUAACUGAACAUUUUCAAAUUUUACUUAUACUGAGCAGUUGUAUAUAACAUCAUUAAUGUAACUCACCUAAUAUUUAAACUUUUCUAAUUUUCUCUUCCCCUGAUAACUAAAGUUGGAACAAAGAUUAAUUGUGGAAGAUGAUACCACUACAUGAAUUUUUAUUUCAAUCUAGGGAUACGAAGAAUCUAUUAAUAUCCACGAAAAUGGCAAACAUUACCUAUUACUUAAAAUUACAACACAGCGGAAGCGGUCAAAAUAAAUAGAAUAAAAGCAAACCUUCGGGAUCUUCCAGCAAAGCAAUGAACCAAAACACCACCACCCGUCUUUUUAUCUUCUUCAAUAAAAUUGAAACACUCACUAAAGUACUGUGAUAUAUCCACAUCUUCUCUAUCCAUUACUGCUCAAAUUCAGAAGGAACAUCAUAAAUGAGACAUUAACUAAGUUUUUUGUAUAAAAAGAACCACAAGAUUCAAUUGGGUUCAUUUAUUAGAAAGCUAGAACACCAGAUAUAAAAGUAGAAAGAAACACAGCAUGCAACAAUCAUUCCAUAUUUAGAAAGGUGGAAGCAAAACCUCCGAAUGGAUAGAGAGAUCUCAAGGCGGCGUUAAGUGUAAUGUUCGCAAACACACUUUACACUUCUGAAUUAAAUCCACUGAGAGCAUGUCUGGCCAAGCUUAAAUGAAAGGUAAAGUUACUAAACAAGUUAUGUUUCAAAACAUCUUUGGAUCAACUACUUUUUUCUUACUUCUAAAUAAAAGAACCUAUUUACAUUGAAAGUAACUCUUAGCUUGCUAUCAAAAUAAGUAAUUUAUUUCCAAUUUUAAUCAAUGAAUAAUUAUUUAUUUCAAAACUUAAUUAUCUUGUUAUAAGUAAACUCUUCAGACUUCAAGCUUGGCCAAAUAUGCUCAAACUCACUUCGGCCCACUAUCAAAAUGAAAUGAGUAAUUCUUCUUUACAACACAAAGCAAGGAGUUAUAGUAUAAAUAUUCGUAAAAUGGGUGCUAUUUUGAAGAUUCGGCUCAACAACUCUUUACCAGGAAUAGUUUUGUAUAUAAAGUCAUUUGAAUGAGCAGGGGACAAAGAAUGGGCGACCGUCAAUAUGUGUGUGAUAUUCAAGCUUCUCAAAGUACUUUUGUUAUUGGCAGCUCCAAGUGAGCCCAAGUAAAGACCCUGAGAAAGUAUAAGAACAAUCUCAUAAAUCACGAUGUUAAAAAUUAGAAUCACCAGCUCAAAAGUAAUCACCUCUUCGAUUUUGCAUGGAAUAUUAUCAUCUUUAAUAAUUUUUGUUGCUUGCACAACUUGCAGCAAUGCUGCAAUGCGAUCCUUGAAGAUGGUAUCAUUCAUUGUUAAUGCGGAAAAGUUCUAUAUCUUUUGCUCUCUUUCCAGAUGGUAUUGAUGCAACCCAAACCAAUAACCUGUACAUACAAUACGAUAUGAAGAACCAGAAAUAAAUGGAAAAUUAUCGUGCAUUCCAAAUCCAAGGCAUACAGACAAAAAAUAUUUAGCAACUACAACACACAAUUCCUCCUCCCACAAACAAAACAGAGAUACAACUAUAGAAUUCUAACCACCAGGUUUAUGUCAAGAUAGGAGUAUAAUUCUGAUUAUGCCUUACCAUCAAAAGUUAGUAUUUUUCUUUAAAUAUUAAUUUGAAGUCAACGUAUGCAUAAUCACAAAAUGCAGUUCGGCCUAAAUACUUGAAUAUUGUUUCUUGCCUUUAGCAUAAUUACCAAUAGAGAGUGUCACGAGAAUUAUUUAUGAUCUCCUACAAUUAUCAUAGCAGAUGAUCAUAAGACAAUUAUAUGUAACAUCAAUUUGCUGAAGUUUUAGGAUAUAUUCCAGUUAUUAUAUUAUUAACUGCAUUCCAAUUCACAGCAAAUACUAAAAUCACAGCAACAAUCUAUCAAUCGCCCAAAUGAGGUAGAAAAUGGAGUAUUUAAUCGGAUCCCAAUUUUCUUUAAUAAGAAAACAUCAAAUAAAUCAUCAACAAUAAAUAAUUUCCCAAAGAAUGACCCAUAACUUUUCAAGAAUGAAUCUUUCACGUUCUUGAAAAAAAUUAAAACUAAAAUUUAACGCUUUCAUAUUUUAUAAACAUAAUCACCACUAAAAUACUGGUAAAUAUCAUCAAAUGGGGAAAAGAAAAAUCACCAAAACUUCACAAUAUUGACAAUUCCAUCACUACGUAAAUGAUUAGCUAUAAAAUAAAAAAGAACAAAAGAUCACACGAUAAUUAAAUAAAUACAUACCCAACUUUGUGUGAAUUACAGAAUCAGUCGCAGAUAUGAUUCUCAGUGAAGGGUUUUCAACGGUAUAUACACACACCACUGUUAAAAAUAAAAUUUUGUUAUAUUUUAAAUCCCAUGUAAAUUUAGACAAAAACAAAAUUAAAUAAAAAUACAUAACUUUAAAUUGAUCCACUAGUUUUAAUUUUCACUUAAUUAGAAUCAUAAUAGAUAGAGAAAAAUACAUGAAUGUAAUUAUAGGUGAUGAUGACUCAAUGUGAUUUAUGUGCUGAGAAUCAUAUCGAAUUUCAAAGAUUGCAAAACGGAAUUUGAUGCAAUUUCAUCAGUUAAUUAAGAAAGAAGAAUAAUUGUAUCCAACAAAGUAAGUAAACUUCAGUUUGCUUAAUCGAACUUUCUCUUCUUUCUUUCUUUAGCCUUUAUUGUUUGAAACAUUUUAAUACUCAUAAUUUCGAUGGACAAAGAAUUUAUUUCAUGUUAAUUAAUGUUCAAUCAAUUCAACUUGUUCUUAUUUCAUUCAUUUGAUUUAAGAGUUUAUAGUUUUAGAGAUUGGGCGAAUAUAUAUUGAUAAAGAUGUAUUUAAAGUGGGAUGAAUAUAUAAAAUUCAUGUGGAUGUAUAAUAUUUAAAUGAAUGAAUUUAAUAAGGAUAGUAUUGAAAUAUGACGUGAAUGUAAAUAGUAUUUUUUAAAAAUUUUAAAAUUUUAUUAGAGAUAAAUUUAGAGUGGAACGUACUUAUAAAAAAUGUUGAUGGAAAGUAGUAUCAGUUUACAAUGGGGGGUGUAUGUGAGAGAGAUGGAGAUAAGAAAGUUGGUAUAUUAUUGGUGCUUUUUUUUUUUUUAUUUACUAUGGAUUUUUUUUUUCAAGUUUUAUUAAGUUGCGACUUGGGGGAAAUAGAGAUUUGAAUAGUGAUUCUUUGGUAAUCGUGUGGUUAAAAAAUAAAGAAAAAUUUUAAGUUUGCGUGUUAAAUUUUUUAUUAUGUGAAUAUGUAGUUAAUAAUGAGUAUAUAGAAAAAAAGAGUUUGAAAAUAAUAAUUGUCAAAUAAGGACUAAGUAUUGACAAGUCCAUAAGCCCAAAUAAGAUAGCAAAAAAAUAAAAAUAAUUAAAUUUGAUAUUUGUGGCGGCUCAUCCCAAACAAAAAUUCUCGCGUAAUCAACUCCUCAAAGCAAGGAUACGAUUAACGAUGGCAAAAAAUUCGUUCAACCGAAUACUUGUGGGCCCUACCUAAUCGAGUACCCGAAUACCUCUGGGCCCUACUUGUUGCUAUAUUAGAAUUAAUCUCAAUUUUACAUUUUUUAUCAAACAAAAAGAAAACACUUAUAAUCAUUUUUAAAAAGAACAUGAGCUGUUUUUAAUAAAUUGAAAAAGAAAAAAGUAAUAAUAUUAAUUAACUUAACAUAUUAAAAAUAAACAGGGUGAUAAAUGGAACAAGGGACUAUCCCCGCCCCGAUCUCGCCCUAAGCCCCAUCUCAUCAUACGUAAAUCGAGUAUGGUGACGAGACAAAGUAAUAAAAAUUCUCGACAGGAUAGGUGAUGAGAAUGAUCAACCCUUCCCACACACAACCCAUUGUCAUUUCUGGACAUGACGAUCGAUGUUGCACCGUGACAAGGAUGGGAAUAUGGUCCCAGUCUCUAUCGAAAUUUUUUAUUCAAUUCUUGCACUCGAAGGCAUGAAUAUUUCUCUCAUGCAUGGUCUAGUAGUUCUAGUGUCCAAAUUGAUAACGUUGUGGAUUCAUUAAAAAUCAUUUGCUUUUAAGUUUUGAUGAUAUGUUUACUAAGAAUCGCAUGCAUUAUAAGUUUGAAAUAUCUUUCAAUUAGUUGUUAUGAACGGUAUAUAAAAUAUUAUUUGAGUGACUGUUGGGAUUUGAAAAGUAUACCAACAAAAUUAUGGGGGUGUUGUGAGCGUGUUUUAAUCUCGGUAAGAUCUUUUAUUUUCCUUGUAAUUGGUAUUAGAAAGCAAAAAAAAAAAAAAAAGAUAAAUAAAAAAGGGUAGUAAACGGGGUAGGGAACCUGCCCCAUCCUUUCACUCCUUAAGCGACGAAAGAGAUUGGUCAAAAGGAAAAAAUGCUUGAUGGAGUGGAAGACAAGAUUGAUUGCCCCGACCUUCCCGGGUCAUCCCUAGGCCCAAGUUGUAAAUGUGCGCCCUAAAUAUGUGGGCCCAAGCUACAAAUGUGGGCCCUAAAUGUGUGGGCCCAAGUCCACAAUGUUGCAUGGUGGAUUUCUUUUUUGAAAUUUUUUUGCCUUUUUUAAAAAUGAAAAUUACAGAUUUUAAUAGAUUAAAAAUCCCUAUAUCAUAAAUAAGAUACCAUAUUUAAUAUUUCACAAAUCAAUUUUUUUUAAUUAAUUAAUAUAUUUAAAAAUUAAUCUAAUAAAUAAUAAUUUCAAACCCUAAUUAUUCUCCACUUUCAUUUUCCCCCCACCCCCCGUUUCUCUCUCUAUCACAUCUCUCUCUCAACUGCCCGGCGACUGGAGAACCGACGAUAGAAAGCUGCUUUGUUACAAUGUCGACGAACUAGUGGCGAUUUGAGGAGAUCUCACAAUCGGAGGAACUGCCCAUUGCAAUCUGUGGUGGUUAGGGUGGUGUGCGCGGCAGUGACGUGUAUGUGCGUGGGUGUGGUGGUGUCUGCAACGACGGUGGCGUGAGGCUGUGAUGGUUUUGUGUGAGACGACAGUGAAGGUGUGUGGUGGCGUGAUGGUGGAUCUGGUGAUGUGCAGGUGCAGUGGUGUUUGGAAUGGUGGCCGAUGGUAGGGGUCUUAGCUGUGGUGAUGGUAAGAUGUCGGUGGUUGCAGGUCGUGGUGGUGACGGGCUGUUGGCGUUCAGAGAAUUGAUGAUGAUGUUGGUCGUGGUCGUGGUGGUAGGGAGAUGAUUUUGUGCAGUUGCGAUUUGUUCAUUUUUGUUAGAUCUGGUGGCGGAGUGGGUUUCGGUGGCAGUAGAGGAUGUGGUGCUGGCUCCGAUGGCAACGAUAUUGGCUAUGCUGAAAAUUGUGACUAUGACUCCCAAUUGUGACUCGAAAUUGGAUUUGUGACCUGAAAAUUGUGAUUGUGACUCACAAUUGUAACUCACAAAUUAAGAGUCACAGUUGGUCGUGGCGGUAGCUGUGGUGGUCGUGGCGGUGGUUGUGGUGGUUUGGUUGAUUUGUGACUUACAAUUAAAUAUGUGACCUGAAAAUUGUGAUUGUAACUUACAAUUGUAUAAUUGAUCUGAAAAUUGUAACUGUGAAUUGUAAGUGUUGUGGUGGUCACAAAUUAUUUGGUUGAUUGUGAUAAUUAAAUUGGUUAAUUUGUGACCAAUGAAAAAGAUAAAUUGUAACCGAAAAAUAAGGUGAUCUAAUAAAAUGUUAAUCUGUGAUUGAUAAUUUAGGACUGUAUAAUAAGUUGUGACUUGUAAUAUUUAUGAUUUGUGACCAAUAAAAAAUCGUGACUUAUAAAUUUUUCGAUUUGUGACCGAUGAACAAACUGUGACCUAUAAAAUUUUUAAAUUGUGAUCGUAAAAUAAUUUGUAACAUAAAAUUUCUGAUUUGUGACCAAAAAAUAAUAAGUGACAAAUUAAAUUGUUAAUUUGUGACCAAAUUAUAUAAAUCUGUAACUUAAAUAUAUUUAAUUUCUAGAAUAAUUAAUUAAUUUAAUUAUAAAUAAUUUUAAUAAAAAUCUGAUUUUUGAAAUUUGAAACUUAUUUUCUUAUUUUUGAAAUGUGCCAUAAUUAAUAUCUUACUAAUGAAAUUUUCCCUUUUUAAAAUUAUUAGACAAAUAUGUUGACGUUAAAUUAACUCCAACGGAAUGUUGUAGUGGAACUAAUUGAUUAAGAAAAUAAAAAGUAUCUUAUGUAUCAUAUAAAUCAAUUUUAAAUUUAGAGGUUAAUAUUUGUAUACACUCUCUCUAUUUUGACUCUUUAAUUUAUUUUUUUCAAAAAUAUUUGUUGAUUUCUCGUCUCUUAUUUUAAUAUUUUUUAUAUGUCAAUUGUCAAUCAAUUCAAUUGUUAUUUGAAUAGUUUUAGAAGUAUAGUAUUAAUAUUUAUAAUUUAUUAAAUACAAUCAUUGUAAAUAAUUUUGGAGAUGCUUUAAUUAGAUUUUUUUUGGGCUAAGCUCGAUGAAGAAAUAAAAGUUACUUUUAAGCUUUCUUUUGCCAAAAAAAUAUUUUAAAAUAAUUUUAUUAAAAAAUUCUUUUUAAAAAUAUUGCUUGUUCCGUUUAUAAACAAUUAUAAAAGUCCUCGUUGAAUGGUUCAUGGAGUGAUUGAGUUUACAAAUAUUACAACAAGCUAAGCUAUAAACGUUUAUAAAUUUAGCUAUUGCUUGAUUUCAUUUUUGAUAAAUGGAUUUCUUAAAUAUGAUUUUUUAGAGAUGUGCGACUACAAAAAAUAGGGAAAAUUAGGUGUUAUGUGUAAAAUAUUUUAUUUUAAAAAUAUGAAGUUGAAAAUGAGUUCGAGGAAAUAGAUAUUGAAAAUAUCAAUAUGAGCUGUAUGCCAACUUUGACCAACCAAAAUCUCUGUAAUGCCAAUGUUAGAUAUCCGUAAAUAGACACUGCAAUAUCACUUGGAAUUGCAAUCCAAACCAUAUACCAAUGGCUUCUUUUUUGAACUACUCUGUUUUCGUCUUUGCCAUUCUUUUAUCCACUUCCUCUGCUCCAAAUGGCCUAAUCCUUCCCAUUAGAAAAGACACCAAUACCUUACAACAUUACACCUCAAUACAAAUGGGAAGCAACCAUGCCAUAGUUAACACAGUAAUCCAUCUUGCACAACAAUUCUUGUGUUUCGAGUGCGAUAAUUACACCACAUCCACCUACGCUCCGGUACCUUGUGACACACAAAAAUGUAAAAUAGCCAAGGGGUCUGGAUGUCAAAGUGGAAUGUCACGGGCCUCAGCGCCCUGGCUGCACCAAUAACACCUGUGCUGCCACCACUUUUGACCCAUUCGAGAGUUUUCUUCGAAGUGGAACUUUUGGAGAGGACACAUUAUUCUCCAAAGAUCAUAUGGGGGUGCCCUAGUUUUCCUUUGCUUGCACCAACUCAAAUUACAGGAAGGGUCUAGCCAGUGGCACUACUGGGAUACUAGGACUUGCAAGGACUGAAAUUUCAUUGCAAAAACGGGUUGCAGAGGAGCUCAAUUUACCAGAAAAGUUUUCUCUACGCCUUCCAUCUUCGGGACUCGGGAAAUUGUACGUUGGUGGAGGAUCGUCAAGCAAAUCAGACGUGUCGAAAUCACUUCUCACAACACCCCUCAUCAUAAACCCUGUAAGUACUGGACCUGCUGUUUUUGUCCAGGGUGAACCUUCUGAUGAAUAUUUUAUAAAUGUACAGUCCAUCAAAGUCCAAGGAAAACCUCUGUCUGUCAAAAGUUCCUACUUUACCAUUGACAACGAUGGAGUCGGAGGCACCAAAAUAAGUAACAUUAACAAUUUUACCUCACUGCAUUCUUCCAUUUACAAAACUUUAAACAGGGCUUUCGUCAAGGCAGCGUCUGAUAUGAAGAUCAAAAGCGUCAACGCAGUGGCACCAUUUAGAGCAUGUUUCAGUUCCUCCACCAUUUCCACCACCGCCACCGGCCCUUUUGUCCCAACUAUUGAGCUAGUUUUCCCCUGGAAUGAUGUUUCUUGGAAGAUAUAUGGUGCCAAUUCAAUGUUUACAGUCAACAAGAACGUUAUGUGCCUUGCAUUUGUGAAUGGAGGAUCGAGUCGAAGAACCUCAAUUUUUCCAAGUAUCUCAAUUAUCAUAGGGACAUACCAGUUAGAGGACAAUUUGCUCGAGUUUGAUCGUCUUGUCACAAUUUCGCUUUAGCUCUUCGCUUUUAGUCCGAAACAAGACUUGUUCCCGCCUUUAAGAUGAUCAAAUGUUGUCACAUUUGCAUAGUUCGUUCUUCAAAAAUAUUGUAUUUUAAUUAUAUGCUAGAAAAUAAUUGGAUCUAAUCAAAUAAAUUCCACUGUUUGACUACAUACAUAUGUACUCAUAAAUAACAGAAAAAUAAUUUAUUAGUAUUUGAUUUUCAUAAACUGUUUCAGUAAAAGAAUGUCAACCAGAAUCCAUUAAUUUACUAGUAUGCCUACUUCAUGCAAUUCCACAGACGACAGAAAAGGGCAGUCACAAAUAGCCCAUCAUCGAGAUUCAUUGCCAAGGCCUUUGAAUCUUUUGGUUACCGAGUUUUUAAAUGCAAACGUUUAUUACAAAAAAGCUAAAGAUUUGACAAAGGUUGCUGCUCCUUUCCAAUUGCUGGUUAUCGAUAAGUUGAUAAUCUUAGGAAACCGAGUCGAGUCAUAACUCCUUGUAGCUUAGGUAUAGCUCAUAGAACACUAAAGGAAGUGACCUGACUCCUGGGUAGGAGGCAGAAGCAUAGGAGCUAAGGAGUUCAAGCUUGUUUAAUGUGCUCAUUGAUGCCUAACCCUGAGAUGUAGAUCAUCCAAGGCACAUUAGCAUGUCGUACUCCUGCUCGAACCUGAGCAAUUGCAAUAAUCGGGUUCAUUGAUAUUCUAGGUAUAGUAAAUGCUAAUGAUAUUUUUCGCUGUAGUUUCAUCCAAGAAGGAUUUAUCUAAACCAAUUAUCUAAUCAUUUCUUUGAAUUUGUGGGCAAUUGCGGCUCAGGAAGGUUCUUCUCUCUUUGAAUGAGCUAGGGUCAGAUUACAGGUCCCCCUCUGCUUUUGGGUGCGACGGGGGCCCCUCAUGCUUCCCAAUUCGAAGCUUAGGUUACCUACUCUUGACGGUCAAAGCGAGCCCCUUUAUUUUGAAUUCAUUAAUUUAGAAUGAAUCAAAUCUCCCUAAGUAGGAUUCGAACCUAUGACCAAUCGAUUAACCAAGGAAAAUGAUUCAUGGUAACGACAAGAUACACUUGGGCCAGAAAAACCCCUGCUCCAAAUUGUUUAGCGUUCUAAGACAAGACGGCUGUGGUUGUCCUAAAAGGCUUUGCCAUGAAUCAUGAGGGAAGAGUGUAAAGCGUUGCUGAGUGUGAAGGCGAAGUUUCAAGCUUUACAAGCUCAAAUAAUCAUUUUCUUAUUUUUAAUAUUAUUUUAAAUUUUAAUCUUUUUAAAAAUCAUUUAAUAAUUAGAAUAAUAUAUAUCAAACAUCUAAAAUUAUAAAAAAUAUUAUAUUUAAUUAAUGAUUCCUACAAUUAGUCAAUCACACAAUUUUCAAAUUUUUUGAAAUGUAAGAACUAGACUAUUUUUCAUAAUUUCAAUUUUCAAUUAGACAAAUUUUACUUAAUAGAUGUAUAGGAACUUCAAACAUGAUUUCGAAGUUCUCAACAAGAUAAUGAAUCUCAAGAUCAUAAUUGUUAGUUCUGGAGUAUAAGUUUCCCCUUCAAACAAUUCGAAAGAAAUAUCGUAAUAGUACUAUAGAAAUUUAAAUUCGAGCCCACCGAUUUCACGAUAUUUCCUUAAAACGAAUUUGCUGCCUUUCACGGUACUAAAGGUGUCCAGCAAUCGUUUCCCAGGAUAGAACGGAUUUCCUCUCCUACGGAAGUAGCAUAGCAAUCUGCAGGAGUUCCAACGAACGCAACGAGGUGUUUAUACUUCGAAAAACAGUAUCAGAACGAGAGGGAGAGUGAGAUACAAAGCAGAGAAAGUUUGCAAUGAAAAUUGUGUAAUUUUUCUGGUAACAGAGCAGGCUAUUUAUAGAUUUGUUCGUGGCCAUUCGAACACCCUUCAGAAUAGUCGUCACUGUUCAGACAGCCUCUAAAACUCCAACAGACAUGUUAGUUCAAUACUGCAUCUGUUAAGUUAGUUAACGGUCGACAGUUUAACAGUCGACUGUUUGGUUGGUUAACAAUCGACUGUUUAACAGACCAUUCCAAAAAAUUACCCUGAAAAGGCUAAUGAAAAAAUAAAUUUUAUUAAGUACCAAAAAGAAUUUGAUUGUAUACAAUUUGGUCCAAAAAUUCAAAUAAAAUUUGUCCAAAAAAUUAAUAUAGUGCAAGGACGUACGUGCACGUGCUCGUGUGGAGCCGAGCCGAGCCGACGGCACGGGCAUGUGGGCUUAGGACCGAACCCGAUAGGAUAUAGGUCUCCCCCCUUCUAAAGACUAUUGGUACCCCUUGGGGUCCAAACCCAAUUCCCAAACUUGCACCAUAUAAAUUACACCAAAGUUUCAUAACUUUCCUAUGUGGAAUAAGUGUUUAGGCAAAUUAAAAUUUUCACUAAUUCAUAGUUUCAAGUGGGUUACUUUGAUAUUAAAUAUUUCAUUCAAUUCUAAAUGGUUUUCGAUAAAUAAAUAUUCCACGUUCAUCACCUUGCGGGGUAAAGCGUGAAUAUGCUAGAUCCCGUAUUAAUUAGAUGUGGUUCCCAUUGAAAUUUGGGUCCAAAGUUGACCCAUUUCAUACCAUUUUCUAACAAUAAUUAUAUAAUGCAGAGAGCAUCGUAACUUAAAUCUUAUUUAAUUCUUUAUUGGAUAUUGUUAUCUUUAACUUUUGCAUAGAUAAAGUCUUUUAAAAACUUGAAACUAAAGUCAAAUGAAUUUUCUUUUUUUUUUUUAAAUAAAAAAUAAUAAACUAACUCAAAUAAAAGGUUUUUUUAAAACAAAAAUAGUAAAAGAUUUAAUAAAGCGCGCCUAGGAAAAAGGGAAAAGAGGAAGAAAAAAAUUCAGCCGUUCAUGAAUUAGAAUAAACACCUAAGCACGAAGCGGGUCAUUUUGCCUGAACUUCAAACCUAGGCAUCGUCUAGACAAGUUUUUAGAAUACUGGGCAUAACUCGUUAGGCACAAUUGCUAGAAAGAUUAUGGUUCAAUAAUUGUUUCAGCCUUUGGAAACAGACAAGAAGCUGAGAGGUUUUAUUAUUCCCCUUACGGGUCGUUCAAAAACUAAAUGUGGAGGUUGCAGCCUGAGGACACCAACUUUGAUCAAUCAAAAAUCUGAAAUGCAAUUGCUGAAUGUCAAUAAAUAGAUCCUUCAGUCUCACUUGGAAUAUCCAUUAAUAAUCAUAUUCCAAUGACCUGUUCUAUCAAUUUUUCCCUUUCAUGUUUUUGUUCAUUAGGUGGUUCACAUUUUUGUAUAUGGGGCUACUUGGCCAAUUUAUAGUUUUAUCAUCUCAAAUUUGCUUAUAUAAGUUAUUUCUAUGAAAUUAUAUUAUUCUACAUAUUUAUUCCAUAUGUGAGUGCAACCAAUUUUACAUCUAGAUAGGAAUUCAGAUUGUACCUUUAGAUUGUGUUAAUAACUAAAAAUAACGUGAAAAUUUCAGAUCCAGUUAAGAUGAAUUUAACAGAGCAAUUAAUGAAUUAUUGUAAAAGAAAAAAAGUAAUUUUAGAUCCAUUGUUUCUAUUUGUGAGCCUUUAACCAAGAGUUUGCAGCUCUGUCACAAGAAGCUAUAGUGUUGAUCUAGAUAUGUGAGCCACCUUUUUGAUCGAAAGUUUUGAUUGAUUGUUGAGUUCGAUAGGUUAGGUUAUUAUUGUAAAGUUGUAGUUGUUGCCCAAGUCAUAAUUGUCCGUAACCUAUGCAAUCAUUACUCUCCUUUGAUUGGUAGGUGAGAAGGUGCUGAUAUUAAAGAUGACACUUGUCUUUUCAAGAGUAGUCAUUUUGGAGGCAGUGACAUCACUAGAAGAUAUCUUUUUAGGGGAGUAAUGAUGAUGUUUACAAACGACGGUGACACGUGAUUGAGCUCAUUGGAUUAGCUCUUGGUUCGACCUUGUACUGUAAUUUGGAGUUAUACCAUUAAACUCUUUCUAAUGUUAUUUGAAGUGGGUUCGAGGUUAUUUAUGAGUUCCAACACCAAAAAUUGUCCCUCAGUGCUGGGCUUCUUUUGGAAAAGAUCAGACAUAUACGUUUCUUUAUAUCAGCUCGUCGAAGUAAGAUUUUUGCUUGCAAAGAUGGAAUACAGAGUAUGCAUUUUGUAAUCCUCUUUUCUCUCGUUGAUAUAGUGAAAGUUCUAAUGUGGGUCAAUGGAUGUAGGCACAAUUCUCGACCACUUUUAAAUCCUUGUAUCUUAUAUUUGCACUUAUUUUUAUAUCAUUUAUUCUCCUCGGUGUAAUUUUUAGUCCGCCUUAUUGAUCUGACAUAAUCAUUAGCGUCUUAAUUCAUAACAAAAAUAAAAUAAAAUACGAAAUACUGAAGAGCCCUAAUAAUUUUUAUGUAAUAUCUUAACAAACAUAUUGAAACAUUUUAUAAAACAUUGUUUGCAACUAAAAUAUGCAGACUCAUCUAAGCAUUCAAACUAUUUUAACAAGCCGAAACACAAAUCGCCAUAAAAUAUACAUAUAUACAUCAAAUAGACAUUAAUCGCAUGUUAAGUACGUGUUACUCGAUAUGACCAAACAGUAAAUUAAAAGAAAACUAAAAUUUUAUUUAUAAUAGUGAAUAUUAAAUAUGCACUAACUGAUAGUAUCUUUUAGCAAGAGGUCCAUGAAAUACAUUUUAAAAAAAAAAAUUUAAAAUAAAAAGCUUAGCAAUGUCACCCACAAUAUUCAACCACUAUAUAGUACAUAUGUAGACGUGGGCCAGUUGCUCCACCCUGUGGACCCUCAACCUUUCUUAUCCACUUCAAAUUCUAGUUCAAGUUUGGAAAUAACUAUUGACUGAGGUUUUUUUAUUUUAUUUUCUUUUAUUUUUUAGUUCCCAUCCUUUUAUAAUAGUUUUUAUUAUUGAAGGCAAAAAAGGUGAAGCGACUCUAAAGAAGCAGGCAUGAAAAUUUUGGGAUGCUUUCGGACGAGAUUAAUAAACUACGACUACUUAUCUUUUUUCUUAGAAUUAUCUUGUCCCAAUCAUCGGAAAAGUUGGAAUGUUUAGGGAAGAUUAAUAACUGGAGAUUUGGGUUUUUUGUAUUACUAUUUAAACCGAGCAUCCUUUGAACUUCUACACAUUUUUAUUAUGGAAAGUAAGGUGGAGACGAAUCUUGAUAUAACAUUAAUGUUAAAAUAAGUAACUUAUUUAUUUUUAAUUUUAUUAAUAGAAAACUUAUAUAUUCUAAAGCUUAUAUCUGUUAUAAACAAACAUAUUAAGUUUAGCCAAACAUGUUCGAUGAUCCUAAAGAUAAAAAUGAAUUCUAACUGAGAACAUAUAGAAGAGAUAUUGAAAUAUUCAAACUGUAUUAUUGGUGAUCUUAUCAAAGGGCAUUAACUGUUAGAAUAAGGCAACUAUGAGCAAAGGGUCCCACCGCGGAUUUUGAGCAGCCUCAUAUAUGAGAAAAUCUCUUUUCUCUUUCCAUUUUCACUUAAUUAAUGGAAAUCUUAUCAAUGAAGCAUGGAUGUAUGGUCAAAGCCUUAAAGGAGAGAAGAAGCAGGCGCUCGAGCUGUUAGAUGAUAUAUUUAUUCUCAUCAAAAAGUUCCAUCACGUGCAAAUUGGAUUUAUUUUUGAAUUAAAUGCACGACACACGAAUACACUUUCAUAAAUGAGUGACGAGAUUUGCUAAACAUUUCAUCUCAAAGGUUAAGUUGUUAAAAGAGAAUCACACAUAUUCAAUUAAAUAGCAUCUUCAACCAAACUUUAAUGGCUCAAUUAUCAGGUUUCUAGAGUUUGUGCCACAACUCAUAGAAGAACAAUGAGUCAUUUUCAAGAAAAAUAUAAAACCUUUAUAAAUGGCAAUUUACAAUAGAUACGGCAAAAUUUUCAAAUCGUUACACACAGAAAGAAUUAAACUUUCCAGAAAGAAUUAUAGCAAAAGACAGGAAGUGACCAGUUGGGUUGUUUCCUCUUCUGGUAGUUCGAAGAUUAAGUGCUGAGAUGUGCAGCCUUAAUUUGAACACCGACUUUGACCAAUCAAAAUGUCUGUAAUACCCUUGUUGGAUCCCUAUAAAUGGAUCCUCCAAUCUCAAUUGGAAAUGCAAUCCAUAUUGUUGGAAUCCAAUUCACAUCCCAAUGGCGGCUUCUCUCAAUUCCUUCCUUUUUUUCGUUGCCAUUCUUGUAUACACUUCUUAUGCUCAAAAUGGCCUAAACCUUCCUAUUCGGAAGGAUGCCACUACCUUGCAAUACUACACGACACUAGAAAUGGGCAGCACCCGAGCUACUGUGAAUGCUGUUAUCGAUCUUGGAGCCCAGUUCUUCUGGUUCGAUUGCGAUAAUUAUACCUCAUCCACCUAUGUUCCGAUCCCUUGUGGCUCUCAGAAAUGUGAACUAGCUAAGGGGAGUGGAUGCAUCGGGUGCAAUAUGCCGCCACGACCCGGGUGCACCAAUGAUACCUGUGGUGCCUCGGCUUACAACCCGUUUCAAGAUGUUCUUGUCUCUCAAGGGUUUGAAGAGGACACGCUAUACUCAAAAGAUCAUGUCGAGGUGCCUCAAUUCCCUUACGCUUGCAUGAACACACGUUUCUCAGAGGGACUAGCCAGUGGCACGAGCGGGAUUCUAGGCCUUGCUAGGACCGAAAUUUCUUUGCACAAGCAGGUUGCAAAUAAGUUCAAUUUACCCGACAAGUUCUCUCUAUGCCUUCCAUCUUCAGGACUCGGAAAAUUGUACGUUGGUGGAGGAUCAUCAAGCAAAUCAGACGUAUCGAAAUCACUUAUCACAACACCCCUCAUCAUAAACCCUGUAAGUACAGCCCCUAUUUACACCGUUGGUGAUCCAUCCGAUGAAUAUUUCAUUAAUGUACAGUCCAUCAGAAUUCAUGGAGAACCUUUGUCAGUAAAAAGUUCCUACUUUACCAUUGACAAAGACGGAGUUGGAGGCACCAAAAUUAGUACAUAAACAAUUUCACCGCACUUCAUUCUUCCAUCUACAAACCUUUCACCAGGGCUUUUGUCAAGGCUGCGUCUGACAUGAAGAUCAAAAGUGUCGACGCAGUGGCGCCGUUUAGAGCAUGUUUCAGUUCCUCCACCAUUUCCGCCACUGCCACCGGCCCUUCUGUCCCAAUAAUUGAACUAGUUUUGCGAGGAAAUGAUGUUUCUUGGAAGAUAUAUGGUGCCAAUUCAAUGUUUGCAGUGAAUAAGAAUGUGAUUUGCCUUGCAUUUGUGGAUGGAGGAUCAAGUCCAAGAACUUCAACCAUCGUCGGCGCAUACCAAUUGGAGGAUAAUCUGCUCGAGUUUGAUCUUGUCUCAUCGCAACUUCGCUUUGGCUCUUCUCUUUUGGUCCAGAACAAGACAUGUUCCCGCCUUUAAGAUGUUCGAUUUUCAUCAAGUUUUUCCAAAUGCUUUUGUAUUUCUCAGAUUGAUGAUCAAUAAUAUGUAUCUAUCAAACAAAUUCUGUUGUUUGACUAUAUGCAUAUGUGGACAACAAUAAACUUCACUGAUAUUUGAGUUAUAAAAACAAAGUGCAAAUACAAAAUUAUAAACUUCAGAGAAAUUUUACCUUGUUGAGAUCAUUGCAACAUAGUGGUUGAAUUACAAUUAGUAAAUUUGUCCUGACUAUAUUCUGAAGUUAAAAUCACCUUGAAUUCAAAGUUGGGUGACAAAAUGAAUCAAUCGACCCGUGAUCACGAGCCACGACUAAAACAGGCGAAAAUUCCACGAGGCGAGUUUGGGACAAGAAACCUUGUCUACACUCAAGUUCGACGUGGUGAUGGGUAUCAAUCUCCCCCACCCUGUCCCGUAUUAUCUAAAAUUAAGUCAAAAUCAACAGUUAAUUUUAAUCAUAUAUUUUAUGGGAUCUACAAUUUUUCAAUCCACACAUUUCAUCAACUUUUAUUAAUAUUUUUUAAAAAUUGAUUUUAAUCCCUACCAAACAAUGACAAAAAAAAAAAUGUCAUUUAAACCGGGGAGUUCGACCCCAAACCAUGGCCCAUGGGUACAUGGAUAUGAUUGGGAUAUCAUUAUGUACUAAUAAUAGUGAAAGGAUCUAAGGAAGUGGAUAUGCAACCUAGAAUUAGAUGGUAGCAAGUGGCAAGAUCAUGAAUGGAUGAUAAUGCAUAAGACAACAACAAUUAAUUUAAACAAGAUCUUUCUUUUAGAUCGAUUUAACGUAGGAAAUUCUAUUAUUUCUUUUCGACUAUGCUUUUUUUUCAUAAUUAUCCUGCUUAUCUAAAUAAAUAUCUUAUCCCUAGUAGCGUGUAUAUACUAACUUUCAUUUCUUAAUCUUAGUCAGCAAACAUGAAGAAAAUCCUAAGAAAGUGUACAUAUGCAGGUUCAAUUAUUAUUUAAAAAAAAAAAAAGAAAAGAAAAGAAAGGAAGACCCCAUUAGGACAUGUUUGGGAGUUUCGGCAUACUAAUUAUGAACAUUUUUAAAGUACCGAUUUUUAGUGUUUAUGACCGAAUCGAUUUUGAGGGCUUUUAGUAGUGUCCAACCUAUGUUUGGGAGUUUAUUAUCCAUCAAUCCUAAAAAUAAAUUGUAAAAGAAUAAAACUACAUUUAUGUCCAUUAGUAAAUUUUUCAAUUUAUAGUUUCUUACAUGAUUUUUUCCACUCAUAAGUGAUAUUUUACUUAUAAAUAAUUUUUUUACAUAUAAGUUAAUAUUUAACUUAAUAAAUCAAAUAAGUUAAAUAUUCAUUUAAUUUUUAAGUUAAUUUUUUUUUACUUAUAAGUAAAUUUUACAUUUUAAAAUAAUUUUACAUUAAUAUUUUUAUUUAUAAUUAUCUUUUUCAUAUUUUACAAGUGAAUUUUUGUUUUAUUGGUAGUAUAAACAAUUUUUUUAUAUAUAUAAAAGUGAAUUUUUACUUAUAAGUAGUUUUUAUUUAUAAUGUAAUUUUUCUUAUCUUAUUUACUUAUAAGUAUUUUUUAAAUAUAAUUUAAUUUUUUUACUUAUAAAUAUUUUUAUUUAUUAUAUUUUUAAUUACAAGUCAAUUUUGAAGAAAAUAUGUUGGUUGGAAAUAAUUAUUUUAUAAAGGGUAAAACAGCCAUCUAAGGGUCUUUGGAUGCCUUUGUUAUACAUCCACUCUAAAAAGAAAUAGAACAAAAUUUGAUCCACGAGCCAAGCCUUGUAUAUUUCUUGGAUACCCCCAUGGCAUGAAGGCCUAUAAAUUGUAUGAUCUUCAAUCCUAUUCCAUCAUUGCUUCAAGAGAUGUCAUAUUUCAUGAAAACAUAUUUCCAUUUCGUAAUUCAGAUUUCCUAAAAUCUUUAUCAAAUUCCAGUAUUUCCCUUGAAGCUGAUCAGUCUCUAUUUUAUCCACAUUCUUAUCCUUCAGAUGACAUCCCAUCCUUCCCAUAUGCUCAUUUCCCAGUAUCUCACUCUAAUCAUCACUCCCCAAUAUCAGAUGUUUCUCCUCCUGGUUUUUCUUCUAGUACUCAAGAAUCCAGUUUUGAUCAUNNNNNNNNNNNNNNNNNNNNNNNNNNNNNNNNNNNNNNNNNNNNNNNNNNNNNNNNNNNNNNNNNNNNNNNNNNNNNNNNNNNNNNNNNNNNNNNNNNNNNNNNNNNNNNNNNNNNNNNNNNNNNNNNNNNNNNNNNNNNNNNNNNNNNNNNNNNNNNNNNNNNNNNNNNNNNNNNNNNNNNNNNNNNNNNNNNNNNNNNNNNNNNNNNNNNNNNNNNNNNNNNNNNNNNNNNNNNNNNNNNNNNNNNNNNNNNNNNNNNNNNNNNNNNNNNNNNNNNNNNNNNNNNNNNNNNNNNNNNNNNNNNNNNNNNNNNNNNNNNNNNNNNNNNNNNNNNNNNNNNNNNNNNNNNNNNNNNNNNNNNNNNNNNNNNNNNNNNNNNNNNNNNNNNNNNNNNNNNNNNNNNNNNNNNNNNNNNNNNNNNNNNNNNNNNNNNNNNNNNNNNNNNNNNNNNNNNNNNNNNNNNNNNNNNNNNNNNNNNNNNNNNNNNNNNNNNNNNNNNNNNNNNNNNNNNNNNNNNNNNNNNNNNNNNNNNNNNNNNNNNNNNNNNNNNNNNNNNNNNNNNNNNNNNNNNNNNNNNNNNNNNNNNNNNNNNNNNNNNNNNNNNNNNNNNNNNNNNNNNNNNNNNNNNNNNNNNNNNNNNNNNNNNNNNNNNNNNNNNNNNNNNNNNNNNNNNNNNNNNNNNNNNNNNNNNNNNNNNNNNNNNNNNNNNNNNNNNNNNNNNNNNNNNNNNNNNNNNNNNNNNNNNNNNNNNNNNNNNNNNNNNNNNNNNNNNNNNNNNNNNNNNNNNNNNNNNNNNNNNNNNNNNNNNNNNNNNNNNNNNNNNNNNNNNNNNNNNNNNNNNNNNNNNNNNNNNNNNNNNNNNNNNNNNNNNNNNNNNNNNNNNNNNNNNNNNNNNNNNNNNNNNNNNNNNNNNNNNNNNNNNNNNNNNNNNNNNNNNNNNNNNNNNNNNNNNNNNNNNNNNNNNNNNNNNNNNNNNNNNNNNNNNNNNNNNNNNNNNNNNNNNNNNNNNNNNNNNNNNNNNNNNNNNNNNNNNNNNNNNNNNNNNNNNNNNNNNNNNNNNNNNNNNNNNNNNNNNNNNNNNNNNNNNNNNNNNNNNNNNNNNNNNNNNNNNNNNNNNNNNNNNNNNNNNNNNNNNNNNNNNNNNNNNNNNNNNNNNNNNNNNNNNNNNNNNNNNNNNNNNNNNNNNNNNNNNNNNNNNNNNNNNNNNNNNNNNNNNNNNNNNNNNNNNNNNNNNNNNNNNNNNNNNNNNNNNNNNNNNNNNNNNNNNNNNNNNNNNNNNNNNNNNNNNNNNNNNNNNNNNNNNNNNNNNNNNNNNNNNNNNNNNNNNNNNNNNNNNNNNNNNNNNNNNNNNNNNNNNNNNNNNNNNNNNNNNNNNNNNNNNNNNNNNNNNNNNNNNNNNNNNNNNNNNNNNNNNNNNNNNNNNNNNNNNNNNNNNNNNNNNNNNNNNNNNNNNNNNNNNNNNNNNNNNNNNNNNNNNNNNNNNNNNNNNNNNNNNNNNNNNNNNNNNNNNNNNNNNNNNNNNNNNNNNNNNNNNNNNNNNNNNNNNNNNNNNNNNNNNNNNNNNNNNNNNNNNNNNNNNNNNNNNNNNNNNNNNNNNNNNNNNNNNNNNNNNNNNNNNNNNNNNNNNNNNNNNNNNNNNNNNNNNNNNNNNNNNNNNNNNNNNNNNNNNNNNNNNNNNNNNNNNNNNNNNNNNNNNNNNNNNNNNNNNNNNNNNNNNNNNNNNNNNNNNNNNNNNNNNNNNNNNNNNNNNNNNNNNNNNNNNNNNNNNNNNNNNNNNNNNNNNNNNNNNNNNNNNNNNNNNNNNNNNNNNNNNNNNNNNNNNNNNNNNNNNNNNNNNNNNNNNNNNNNNNNNNNNNNNNNNNNNNNNNNNNNNNNNNNNNNNNNNNNNNNNNNNNNNNNNNNNNNNNNNNNNNNNNNNNNNNNNNNNNNNNNNNNNNNNNNNNNNNNNNNNNNNNNNNNNNNNNNNNNNNNNNNNNNNNNNNNNNNNNNNNNNNNNNNNNNNNNNNNNNNNNNNNNNNNNNNNNNNNNNNNNNNNNNNNNNNNNNNNNNNNNNNNNNNNNNNNNNNNNNNNNNNNNNNNNNNNNNNNNNNNNNNNNNNNNNNNNNNNNNNNNNNNNNNNNNNNNNNNNNNNNNNNNNNNNNNNNNNNNNNNNNNNNNNNNNNNNNNNNNNNNNNNNNNNNNNNNNNNNNNNNNNNNNNNNNNNNNNNNNNNNNNNNNNNNNNNNNNNNNNNNNNNNNNNNNNNNNNNNNNNNNNNNNNNNNNNNNNNNNNNNNNNNNNNNNNNNNNNNNNNNNNNNNNNNNNNNNNNNNNNNNNNNNNNNNNNNNNNNNNNNNNNNNNNNNNNNNNNNNNNNNNNNNNNNNNNNNNNNNNNNNNNNNNNNNNNNNNNNNNNNNNNNNNNNNNNNNNNNNNNNNNNNNNNNNNNNNNNNNNNNNNNNNNNNNNNNNNNNNNNNNNNNNNNNNNNNNNNNNNNNNNNNNNNNNNNNNNNNNNNNNNNNNNNNNNNNNNNNNNNNNNNNNNNNNNNNNNNNNNNNNNNNNNNNNNNNNNNNNNNNNNNNNNNNNNNNNNCUUCCAGACUUACGAGGUAAAUGUGUUGUGACAGGAUGUUCUGGUUCCAAGGUAUCAAUAGGGUGUUGUGCUCCAUCAUGACUAACAUCUGUAUUGGAGUUAGGAGUUUGUGUGUGAGAUGGAGUAUCUAGAAUAUCAGGAAGGGAAGAUCUUAUUUGAUUGGUAUUAGUAUGAUCAUGGUUAUCAUUAUAGGGCUCGGUGAUGACAGGAUCAUUGGAAAUAUUGAGGUUUUGUGUGAAACUGAGGUGAGGGAGAUCAGACGGUUGUCUGUUGCUGUUGGGGUUAGAGUUCUUGUAAGGAAAAACAUCUUCAUGGAAUAUUACAUUCCUUGAGAUGAAAAUUUUGUCUGAUUCUAGGUCCAACAAUCUAUAACCUUUCACACCAAAAGGAUAGCCAAUGAAUACACAUCUUCUAGACCUAGCAUCAAACUUAUGUCUGCCAUUGGUGAGAGUGGUUGCGAAGGCUAGACAACCAAAAACUCUUCGAUGGGUAUAGUUGGGCUUAAUAUGAAAGAGUAUCUCAAAGGGACUUUUAUGAUUUAAAUUGGGAGUUGGUGUCCUGUUAAUUAGAUAAACUGCUGUAAGGACAAAAUCAUUCCAGUAUUUUAGAGGCAGCCCACUUUGGAAUUUUAAGGCUCGUGCUAUGUUCAAAAUGUGUUGGUGCUUUCUCUCAACCACUGCAUUUUGCUCAGGUGUUUCAACACAACUUCUUUGAUGUAUUAUGCCUUUUGUUAAAUAAAAUUGGGUCAUAUUGAACUCCCCUCCAUUGUCUGUUCGAAUUGUCUUUAUUUUGGCUUCAAAUUGGGUUUCUAUCAUGGCACAAAAAUUUUGUAAAGCAGUAGUAGCAUCAGACUUUAGCCUUAACAUAUAAAUCCACGUGCACUUACUGAAAUCAUCUACAAUAGACAGAAAAUAUUUAGAACCAUCUCUGCUCAAUUCCUUACAAGGACCCCAGAUAUCACAGUGAAUUAGCUCAAAGCAUUUUCUAGUCUUGCUGUUGCUUACAUUGAAAGGUAACUUGUGCUGUUUGGCUAGAGGGCAGAUGGCGCAGGGAUUAGAUGAUGGUGUUAGGUGAACAUUACUAUCAGGACUAAAAUUGGAAUAUGAGGAAUGACCUAGUCUAUAAUGCCAUAGAUCGAUGUCCUCAUGUUUAUUUGUAGUAGUGGCAGAGAGAGAACACUUGAUUUGAUUGAGGAUUUCUGAUAGAGUUGAGGAAGUGAUCGAUUUUCUCAGCAUAUGGUAUAAUCCAUCCUUCACCUCACCCAUUCCAAUCAUUUUCCAAGUCAAAAGGUCCUGAAUACAGCAGAAAUCAGAGAAGAAAGUAAGGCAGCAAAUUCAAAGUUUGAGUAAGCUUCUUUAUAGAAAUCAAAUUAAAAGUAAAACUGGGUAUGCAAAGGACAUUGUAGAGGAUGAUGGAGUCUGAAAAUUUGAUGGUUCCUAUGUGUGUGACUGGGACCAUUUCUCCAUUUGGUAAACUUACAAAGUAAGAUGCACAUGCUUGAAUAGAUGUAAAUUAUGAGAUGGAGCAGACCAUGUGGUCUGUUGCUCCAGUAUCGAGUAUCCAUGGGAUAUCAGGUGCACCUCUUUGGUUGUGAUGAAAAGCAGUUAGUGAUAGAGAUAUACCAGACAUUUUAUUGUUGCUUUCCUCAGAAAGGGUUGAAGUGAGGAUUUGGGCAUUGGAUGGUGUUGGAGUGAAGUUCUGGGAAUUGUCUGUUGGUUUGAGGAGUGCUAGCAGCUGAGAGUAUUGCUCAAGACUUAAAGAUACUUGGCCUCUGUCUUUCACCACCUCCCUGUUCGAGCCUACACUUGCAGUGGCUACAUUGGCAGCCAAUUUUCCCUUAUCACUGAGGCUAUGUCCUGGUGGGAACCCAUGAAGCUUGUAGCAUUUAUCUGUUCCAUGUCCUGGCAUUUGACAGUAGUUGCAGAUAGGCCUAUUUGGAUUUGCUUUAAAACAUCGUUCAAGUGAGUGCCCAGCAGUUUUGCAGUAAGUGCAAUAAUACUUAUCCUUUCUGUGUGGUGAAGAGUUUUGGCCAUUUCUUUCUCUAAAAUUCCUUCUACUGAGAAGUGCCAUGGAAUCAGCAUUUGUAGGAGUUGGAUUAGAUAUUUCCCUUCUUUUCUCUUCUUGCUGGACUAAGGAAUAUACCUCACUUAAGUUAGGAAAAGGUUUGAUUAGCAGAAUUUGAGCCUUAAUUUCCUUAUAAGUUUCAUUCAAUCCCAUCAAAAACUUCAUAACACAGUCUCUUUGCUGAUUUUGAACUACAACAUUCAAUCCCCCACAUGUGCAGUUAGGUAUGCUCUCAUAAUUCAUCAGUUCAUCAAGUAGAAUUUUGAGUUUGGAAAAAUAUACACUUACAGAAUCUUGGUUUUGCAUCAAGGUGGUGAUGUCCUUUUUAACUUCGAAAAUUCGUGGAGCAUUUUGUUGUGAGAAUCGUUGCUCAAGAUCCAGCCAAAGGAGAUGAAUAGUUUCAGCAUAGAUGGUACUGCUUUUGAUGUCUGUUGCCAUGGCAUUUUGCAUCCAGCUUAUGACAAUAUCGUUACAUCUUAACCAAUGUUCCAUUAAUGGGUCAUUCUGAUCUUUGGGCUCGCAGAGGGUGCCAUCGAUAAAGCCAAGCUUGUUCUUAAUCCUCAAGGCUCUCUUCAUCGAUCGAGCCCAGGAAUAGUAGUUGGUAGAGUCUAAAACAUGGCUGACCAGUGCAGUAGCACUUCCAUCAUUGCUGCCAAUGAAGUAGGGACUGCUAGGAUGGACUGGAUCAUGGAAAAUUGACGUGUUGCUUCCACCUGUUUGCUGUUGGUUUUGGUUUUGAUUUGUAUUUGGGGAAGGAUCUGUAUUUUCAGAAUUGGAUCCCUCUUUCUCAUGCUCUGAUACCAUAUUAGUUUUGGAGAAUAAAAAAAAAAUACUUAACACAAUUUAGCUGAAAUAAUGUUGAGAAUUUUAUUCAUUCAACCGUGUCUUUCAUAUACAAUGGGAAUGUGUAUAUAUACAACUAAAAAGGAAUCUUUUCCUAACAAAUUUACACAGAGAGAGAGAGGUUGCUGUCAACAAAUCUAACUUUCCCAACCAAUUUCUUUCUAGAUUAUUCUGCCAUUGCUCUGUCAUCAAUUCCAUGUGAUUAUUUCUCCAGCUGUGCAGCAAGUCCACGUGGUUUCCUUCUUGCCAAUAUUUCAGCUGCGCCAUCUUCGACCCUGCUUCCUUCCAGUGUUCCAGCUUAGCUAUCUUCUAACUUUAAUAAUUCCAGGGAAUGUUCACAUUACUCGACGGUAUUGUAUAGGAGAACAUAUAAGAUUUUGACUUGUUUUUGUUCCUUAUUAUAUCCCGUUUGUUGGAACGACAAUUUGAGACCUAGUCUCCGAGGUUGUCAUCAGUCGUCCGAUUGUGAUACUACUACUAAGGUUACAAAACUUGGAAUGGGGCCACCUAGUCGAGGCAGCUAGAGCAGGGGCCAUAUCCCGAACCAGAUGACCCUGCCACGAAAAUUGCAGCUCGGAAAAGGGAUUCAAUUUGUAACUUAGACACUAGCGGUGACAUGGAUUGUAGUGAGCUUCAGCUGACAUUGCUUAUAUGUAAUCUAUAUUUAUGUUAAUCCAAAGUUGAUCCGAUUUGAUGGCUGUCUAAGGAACCAAGAAAAUGAAGAAAAGUGUGUUAAAUUUUUGUGCGUGUAACACAUAUUUAAUCAAAGUAAAUUCUCUUCAAGAUUAAAAUUUUAGAGGGUACGUUGUUUCCAAAUAAGAAAAGAGGACGAUGAUAUAUGUUAUUAAAUAUUAUCUUUUUAAAAAAAAUAAAAAUAAUAAGUGGCGUGUUGUUGUCUAUCGAAUUUCUUGUGCAACCUUGAUAAGAGUUGUAAAGUUUUGAGCAUGAGAUGAGUCAGAUUGGAACCGAAGGGAUAAGGAACAACUAAGCAAGUGGAGUAAUGCAAAAAUAGCAUAUUCAGAUAAAUUUCACAUGGGAUCAAAUAUUUAUAUAUGAAGAAUUUUCUGAAAUCUUACGACUCGUGGAAAUGGUCAUACAAUUGGAAAAACCAGAACAAAAAUACUAGAAGAAUAAUCUUCAAAUUCAAACUUCCAACUUGCGAACGUUGACAAAAUGCGUGUUUCCUAACAUUAAUGUUAUUUAAAUUCAGCAACUUGCAUUAAUAUAAUAUUAGGGAGCAUUGUUCCGAUCUCUAUGAUAUAUUAGGUUUGCAGGACUCGAUACUAAACAUGAUUUUAGCUUCUUUUUUCUUAAAAUUUUUUAUUACUGUAAAGUCAACUUUGAGAAAAGAACAAUCCAUCCGGGUUCUAAUAUAUGUUCUUCUUGAUUUGUAGCUUGUGAAGUAUUAUUCAAUGGCUUUCACGUACUUGUUUUCUUUAUCCUGCAUUCUGUUCCAUUUCAUAUGCCCUUCCGUAGCCAAAAAUUCUUUCAGACCAAAGGCACUUUUCUUACCGGUAACCAAAGAUCCAUCAACCCUUCAAUAUGUUACUCAAAUCGAGCAAAGGACACCUCUAGUGCCAAUUAAACUGACUAUUCACCUUGGUGGACAGACCUUAUGGGUGGAUUGUGAAAAUGGAUACAACAGUUCAUCGUAUAGGUCUGCUCGGUGUCGCUCAGCCCAAUGCUCGAUUGCCAAGUCCCAUGCCUGUGGAGACUGCUUCACCCGUAUGCCUAAAAUCGGAUGCAGCAAUAAUGCCUGCUAUAACACCCCGGAUAAUCCUGCUAUCAACACUUUCUAUGAUGGUGGGGAGAUUUCUGAGGAUGUUUUGUCAAUCCAAUCCACCAACGGAUUCAACCCUGGCCAACCUGUUAACAUUUCACGAUUUAUUUUCUCGUGUGUUCCCUCAUUUCUGACAGCAGGGCUUGCUAACGGGUUAAGGGUACAGCAGGGCUCGGGGGAAGCCUGAUCGCCCUUCCUUCUCAACUUGCUCGUGUUUUCAGCUUUCAAAGAAAAUUUGCUAUUUGCUUGAGCUCCUCCACUAGAUCCAAUGGCAUCGUAUUUUUUGGAAAUGGCCCAUAUGUUUUGCUUCCUGGUAUUGAUGUGUCUAUGUCUCUUAUUUAUACACCACUUAUCAAGAAUCCAUUUGGCAUUGGAUCCGUCCCAUUUCUGAACGAGCUCUCUUCGGAAUACUUCAUUGGAUUAAAAUUGAUCAGAAUCAACGGAAAAUCAGUGCAACUAAAUAGAACUUUGCUAUCAAUUGACAGGGAAGGUAAUGGUGGAACCAAAAUCAGCACCUUUAGACCUUACACUGUAAUGCAGACUUCGAUUUACAAUGCUUUGAUUACUGCUUUCAGAAAAGAACUAGCCAAUGUCACUAGAGUGCUUCCGGUAGCACCAUUUGGGACAUGCUUCGACUCUAAGAACAUUGGUAGCACGCUCGUGGGGCCUGCUGUUCCACCCAUUGAUCUUGUCUUUAAAGGCAACAAUGUGUACUGGAGUAUUUUUGGUGCAAACUCAAUGGUGCAGGUUAAUGAAGAUGUAAUGUGUCUCGGAUUCGUGGAUGGAGGGGAGAAUCCCAUGACAUCAAUAGUCAUUGGUGGACAUCAAAUUGAGGACAAUCUUCUGCAGUUUGAUCUAGCUAGAUCUAGGCUCGGGUUUAGCUCUUCGCUCUUGUUCAGGCAAACAACCUGUGCCAACUUCAACUUUACAUCUCUCGCUUAAGGGUUCUGUUUCAUUUUUCUCAUUCAGAAUAACAUCAAACUAUAAAAUAAAUUCUUGAACUCUUUCUGUUUUUGUUCUGUUCUCAUACAACUGCACGUUUUUUUCUUCGUGUUCCUUUUUUUGCUUUUCAUAUCGCCUAAAAGUUGGCAAAGUAGUGGAUAUUAGUAACUAAAAGUAUGUUCUUGAUUUUGCUUGGAAAUGAUAUUAACAACUGCACCCCCUCCAACCUCCACCCCAUCCCAAAACAAAAACAUUGUAAGUGUUAUAUAAUUGAGAAACAGUUGGACAGUAAAGGUCAACCUAUUUUCCUUAAACAUUAAAGAAGCAUGAGUUACUUAUAAUCCCUUUGAAAGAACACAAGGAUUGCGUUGAAACAAACAGUCCCCAACUUCUGCAACGUUAUAAACUCCUCAAUCGAAAUGUGUAUUCCUAACAUAGAAAUAAAAAUGCAAAAGUGCGAAAGGAUUCAACAUUAAACUACAAUUCAUUAGGCCUGUGGAACUCAAAAUCCAAUUCCACGAGCACGAAAAAAUGCAGCAAAGUAUGAAAGCACCAUUUCGGGAACUGUCAUCGACUCCUGACAUUUUAGGUAGUACAGCCACAAGAAGCCAGCCCAAAAAUGACCUAGAAAAUGGAGAUUCAAUGCUAAAUGAAACUGUCUUCAACUCUCUUCAUAAAAUCGACAAAAGUCUUGUGCGUAAGGUACAUGUCUACAAAAGAAUCUCCCAUAUUUGCUCGUAAAAUCCAUCUUUUCAUCGUCUAAAUCUGCAGGUAUUGGCAGAGGCAUUAGGGACAUUCGUGCUAAUGUUCUGCAUUUGCGCGAUCAUAGCAAUAAUGCAUUUAAUCGGAUUGGAAGCAGGCCUAAUGGAAUAUGCAGCCACAGCAGCACUAACAGUAACUGUUAUAGUUUUCUCCAUAGGAGCAAUUUCUGGAGCCCAUGUCAAUCCUGCUGUCACAAUUGCCUUCGCAACUGUCGGCCCAUUCCCAUGGUCCGAGGUAGUUCCAAGUCCAAAACUUGUUAAAUUUGAAGAUACGGAUCAAGAAAUUGAAUUUCAAAUUUAUUUCCCUUUAUUCUUUGAAGGUUCCACUCUAUAUAUUGGCACAAAUUGGGGGAUCUACUUUGGCAACUUAUAUUGCAAGAUUAGUAUAUGGCAUUAGAUCAGAGCUUGUGAUGACCAAACCACUCCAAGGAUGCACUGCAGCUUUCUGGGUGGAGCUUAUUGCAACUUUCAUAAUUCUUUUCCUCACUGCAUCCUUGUCGGAUCGAGAAAUUGAAUUUCAAAUUUAUUUCCCUUUUUCUUUGAAGGUUCCACUCUAUAUAUUGGCACAAAUUGGGGGAUCUACUUUGGCAACUUAUAUUGCAAGAUUAGUAUAUGGCAUUAGAUCAGAGCUUGUGAUGACCAAACCACUCCAAGGAUGCACUGCAGCUUUCUGGGUGGAGCUUAUUGCAACUUUCAUAAUUCUUUUCCUCACUGCAUCCUUGUCAAAUGACCCUCAAUCUGUAAGAUUCUGUCAAUUCUACUCGAGUCAUUUUACGUUCGACUACACUUAUCCUGUGAUAUGUUCGGUUUAGAGUUAUAUCAGACAUGUUGCACAUAUUAGGAUAUUCGAUUUACAGUGUUCCUAGUAAUAUUUCUUCUGGUAUGAUAUAGUGCCAUUUUUGCAGAUAGGACAGGUGUCUGGCUUUGUUGUCGGGGUGGCCAUUGGACUAGGAGUGCUAAUUUCUGGGUAAAGCAUAAAGAUUCUACUCGAGUCAUUUUACGUUCGACUACACUUAUCCUGUGACCGCAGAUAUGUUCGGUUUAGAGUUAUAUCAGACAUGUUGCACAUAUUAGGAUAUUCGAUUUACGGUGUUCCUAGUAAUAUUUCUUCUGGUAUGAUAUAGUGCAAUUUUUGCAGAUAGGACAGGUGUCUGGCUUUGUUGUCGGGGUGGCCAUUGGACUAGGAGUGCUAAUUUCUGGGUAAAGCAUAAAUAAUUACUUAUUACAAACUAACUAGAACUCACCAGAUUCACUUAAGUCGAUUAAAUUAUCAAAUGCAGGCCUGUUUCAGGUGGGUCGAUGAAUCCAGCGAGAUCGUUAGGACCUGCACUUGUUUCAUGGAAAUUUGAUGAUCACUUAUGGAUAUAUUUAGUAGCACCAACUAUAGGAGCCAUUGCUGGUGUUUUUGUGUACCGGAUUUUACGACUACAAGGUUGGUCUUGUGAGUCGAGUCAAGCCCGAAAAGGAAGUGAUUCUUUACAUUAGGUUGUAGCAUAGGCCAGCACGGUCGUUUCGAUUCUUUAUCUUCCUUGUACGCUUGCAUUUACGUCUAUGAGUGUUCAAAUUUCCAAAUGUGUUUACGAAUCAAAUUUUGUCUAAUCUUAUGUGAAAACAAAGCCUUAAUCGGACAGUCUCUAUUUAAAUUGCUUUAUUUUAAACUUUUUUUUUUCUCUGUUUGGUCGUUUUCUCUUUUCCUAUAUGAUAUGAGAUAUUAUUCUUCUACUUAACAAGGCCUAUCAAUGGGCCUAACGACAGUAGAGAUAAUGCUCCGUCAGCCCAAGAAAAUCCAUCAAAUAUGGGAGAAUUUACACCAAUAGCACUAGAUAAGAGUGAAUACGGUUUAGUUUGGCGGUUUAAGACAAAAUUUCAAACCAAACCAUUUAAAACAGUUUGAAAUUUUUCCAAAUCAAACCAAAACCACUUUGAUUACUAAACUAAACAAAUCCAAAUCAUUUAUCAUUUUUUUCUGUUUGGUUAUGUUUAAAACUGCGGUUUAAUAAAGAAAAAAUUAAUCUAUAUCAAAUAAGUUAAAUAAUAAAUAUUAUUCUAAAAUUUCAUGUUAAAACAUAAAUUGUAUUAUUAAAAAAUUGCAAAUCAAAGUUAUAUAACUAUAAUUAUUAUAAUGCAACAACAUGAUAUAAAUAUUUUAAACUCUUAAUCGCUACUAAUGGCGUCCAUUUACAAAUGUAAUACAUGAUUCAUUUUCUUAAUAAAUAUUAAAUAUAGUACAUGAAUUCAUUGAUUAUAGUUGAAUAAUAUAAAAUGAUUAAUAAAAGAAAAUGAACAAAAAAAAAUCAAAUACAAAACAACAACAUAACUACCAAUAAAAAUAUAAAAAUCAAACCUUUUUUUUUUUUUUUAGGUGAAUCAUUCAAAGCUUAUACUUCAUCUAAAUAUUGGCAAAUUAUUUUAAAGAAGCCCGAAAAUCAUUAGAACAACCAAGCUACUUCGUAAGCGGUUUGGUUCGGUUCAAAACCAAAAUUUUGACGGAACCACGUGCAACCAAGCCAAUGGUUUCUGGAAAACGAUUUCGGUUCGAUUUUACGGUUUAGCACCUUCGUUGUUCAGCUCUAACACUAGAUGGGCAAAAAAAUGGAUUAGAUACUCUCUUUUCUUUUCUUUUUUCUUUUUUUAUUGGGUUAAGGUAACUAUAUUUUACUCUAGUGUCAAUCUAGUAAUGAUACUUCAAUUUUUUUUUACGGUUAACUAUAAUGUAAUUUAAUUUUAAAUCAGAUAACUCCGUUCAAUUUCAUCACCGAUUCAUGAAUUAGGGUGAUGGAAAUUUUUUAUCUAUGAAAUAGUGAAGCAUUUCAUUUAUUUCACUAAAAUUGUACAUAUUUCAUAUAAGUAGCUAAUAAUUAGGCUGAUUGAAACUUUUAAUCGAUUGUCGCAUUAUCAAUUUCUGUCAAGAGAAUUGGACAAAGUAUAGUUACUUGACUAAAAUCAUAUUAAAGUAUAGUUAUUCGACUAAACAAAAAUGAACUACAGUUACUUAAAUGAGGCGAUACAUAAAAGACUCGUAAUCUAAUUAACAACUUAACUUUACUUCAAUCUUGUAACGCAAGCUGCUGAACCAUGGCGAAACAACUAGGUAUUGUGUUAACAUAGCAAUAUGAGUGAUUGUGUCUUAGGGCCUGUUAGGCGUGACUUUUGCUUUUACUUUUUGUAAAAGAGCUUUUGGAGAAAAUUAUAUUUAUUUUUGUUAGAAGACUAAUUUUUUAAAAGAGUUUCUUGUUUUGAAAGUGCUUUUUGAAAAAGUCACAUUGUACCAAUUUCUUCUAAAAACUCUUUUAAUUAGAAGAAAUACUUUUAUAAAAUUAUUCAAACAAGUUCGAAAACAAUUUUUGAAUCUUAAAGACGCUUUUUUAACUUUUCCAAAAUCAUGACUAAUGAACCCUUAGUAGAAGCAAACUAUUCAUUGACAAUUUUAAGGAGGACAAAGCAAUAGUUUAUGGUUAAAGCGGCAAAUUAGGGGACAAACGUGAGAGACAAAUGUUUUGUCCAAUUGCUUAAGACAAUUAGCCAUUCUUCAUUCUCCCUGAAGUGACAACCAAAAAACCUUAAAAUUUCAUAUGCUGAAGAGAAUACAGAUUAUGAACUGCUGGCCUUGAUUCCGCAAACAAAACAUGAAAACAAAAGUGAUGAAAAAAAUUCCCUCUUUUCUUGUUGCUUUGAAGUGAUAAAAUUGAUUGUUAGAAAGAAAAUAAAAUUAGUAAUACUCUCAAAGUACUCGUGAGGAGACGUCUUAUUAUUAUUAUUAUUUUUUUUUAUGACGGGGAACCUACAGUCGCUACUCUUCGGAUGUACGCUGGGUAAACCCUCGGACUGACGCGAUAGUCUGCAAAUCACGCUAGCCAGGUAAACAGCAUUAGGCAAACCCGAUACGACAGACUCGACCAAGAAAGUGUUGGUAGAGGAAAUCGAACUCGUGAUCAAAGACUUCCGCGCUCACCCACUCCAACAACUCGGCCACCCCAUGAGGGGCGGAGACGUCUUAUUAUCACUUCUACUUUGCCUGAAUUCAAUCAUGUGGAGGUUCUUGAGUCUAUAAGUAUGAGUAAAAAUUUUAAGGUACUUCGAAUCGUCUAAAACUGAGCAUUGUUAUUACAUAAGCAACAAAAUUUGUGGCGGGUUUUUGUCAUAAAAUUUCUUGUAAAUUUUUAUAUAUUUACUUGAGCAACAAUGAAUAAAAAAAAAUGAUUUUCCAUCACAAAAAAAAAAAAAUUAAAGAAAGUCGGUCUAGAAGCUAGUGUUUUGACCUUUUAAGAUUCUGUUACUUUUAACUUAACAACAUAUCAAUUAUUUUAAAGACUCGGGGUUAAAAGUGUUCCACUCAAAUGAGUUGUGACUUGUAAGCUAUGUCCUAUAAAUAAAUAUUGAAGUAUUUUUCUAAAAACUUUAGGUAAAAAAAAUUAAAUGUAACUGUCACAAGCAAUUGGACAAGAUAAAAGUGACUCACCAACUAAAAUUGCCCACUUAUUAUUUCUUAGUAUGGAUUGAGUCAUGUCUUACUAAUUUUGCAAAUUAGCCACGAUAAAAUUAAUGAAAAGUGAUUACAAUUUGAAGCAAUGGGCAUAUAGAUUAAUUUUUUUGCCAUUAUGGAUGUGGAUAGGUGAAUAUCCCAAUGGUCCCCCUCCAACAAGCAUGGGAUAAGCACAAAAAAUAAUCCAAUAGAGUUUCAUCAUACUUUUGUGAGUAUUUUAAAUUAAAAGCUUGAAAAUUUUUCAGGUAAAAUAAAUAGUGUGGAAGCAUGUGUUUUAUUGAUAGCUUGCUUUGUAAAGUGUAAUAUAUAUAUAGAUGUCAAGUUUCGAAACAAAUCAUGUUGUGAGUCAAUCAAAGUAAAAAUCGAGCUGUGAGAAACCUAACUAUCUUGACUAUGUUUUGUGCAAGUCAGCCCACAAGAACCUUUAAAUUACUUUUCUUAACAAUAUUUUAUGUAGAAAUCAUUUUUAUAGAUAAAUUACUUAUUUGUUAAUUUCAUGAUUCAGUUAUUACAUUUGACAAGAUUUUAAUUUCAAAUUGGAGUUUCACUAAAUUAAGGUAUUAUGAAUGCUAAGAAUCUUAUCUUAAAUGUCAAGAUUAAAGUUUCAAAAUGAUAAGAUCGUCCUAUUAAAUAAUAUUUUUCUUUGUAUACCUAAGUCAUUUUCAAUCUUGGAAGGACCCCAAGGUCAAUGGAAAUGGGAAGAGAAUGGGGCUCACAUUUGCCUUAAAAGGGAUUGCCAUUGGAAUUUGAUAGAUAGUGUCUUUAUCAUGGGUGCUAUGGUGCUAGUGCUUUUAUUUAAGCCCCUACAACUUUGGUGAAAAUGAUUUCAUACCAUAAAAAUUAGAGAAAUUUGCAACAUACGACUUCUAUUUAGAAUGUAUUUACAUUUUGCAUGACACAGCUAUUAUUUAUAACUUAUAAGUAAGAAAAAUACUUUUUUAUUUAAAAAAAUUAUACAUAUACCAAUGUAAGUAGCUUAACAAAACAAAAUACCCUUAAUUAGUAAUAACAAAUCACGACUACAUUUUAUAUUAUUAAACACUUUACAUACCAUGUGUUUAACUCUUAUUAUUAUUUUUUUUUUAAAUUUAAUUACUAGAAGCUUGAGAUAGUUUAUUAAUUUUUUUUUCUUAAAAGAUGGUCUUCAUUUAUUGUAAGGUUUACAAAAUGAUUGCUCUUCAUUUUUAAAAUUACAGAGUGAAAAAAAAAACGCUGUGAAAAAGACAAAUCUUAAAAAAAAUAAUAAAUAAAAAACGUGUUGGAAAAUAUAGCAAAAACUUAAUUUGAAUUUUUUCCAACAUUAUUAAGUGGACAUAUGCAAAUUAUUAAUUUUCACCAUUAUUAUAUAAGUUUAUUCAUCGUAAUUUAUGUUUAAUGAGUAAAAAUAACAAAAAUUAGAAAAAAAAUGCUUUAAAUCGACCAAGAUUAUUCAUAACUACUUUCUUUCGCAGCACUAGGCUUUCAGCUCGGUCAACUCUCCCUUUUGUGCCACCUAGGAUAGUCUAGAAGACUUGUAGAGAGAUUAAUAUGAAACACAUGCCCAAUUAACAAAGGUAAAGUCCUCUACCAAUAAAAUAAAAAGAGGAAAGACAUCGAACAUCGAUGCAUCCCUCUAAUAGUUUAAGCCUGCAGGUUAUAGCAAAAAUGAAAAAGGUCAAGCGUAUAUAUUUGAUGAAAUGAUCAAUGCUUAGAUUUGUUACUAAGAGUCUUUGCCUUAAUCUAUUCUCUUUUGUUAGCUAGACUUUUGUUGGAAGAAUUGGCACCUUUUCUUGAUCUUCUCUUUCCUAAAGUAUGCAGUAUGUCACGGACUUGCUAAUUUCUUUCAAGAACCGUGCGGCCUUAGUGUCUUCAACUUCCGCCCCCGCGGUUAUUACACUAAGUCAGCCUCUCGAUUGGCAUUGAUGUCUUAGAAAGACACUAGGUAGAACACUUUAGGAAAGGGACAAUGAAGGAACACAAGAACUUACAAAGAAUGCUUUGUAUUGAAUAAGGAUACUCUUUACAACUUCACUCUCUUGAUGCCUUCAAAUGAAUCUUACCAAGCUAUUUAUAGUAGUAGCCUACUCAAAUGGAUGGCUAGAAUCUUUUCUAUCCAAUGGUCUAGAUUACACAUCUAGAAUUAUCUAUACAAAUAUCUACAUUAAAAUAUCUAUGGACUAGACUAGGAUGAUCUAGAAUAAUCCACCAAGUGAGGAGCUUGUAGGCUUCUAGAAUGUCCCACCAUAUUCUAGCAAUCUUCAUGCACUUGUGGGAGUCUAGAAUAUUCCGGUUAGCCUCAAGUCUUUUGUCAAUCCAAUCCACCAACGGAUUCAACCCUGGCCAACCUGUUAACAUUUCACGAUUUAUUUUCUCGUGUGUUCCCUCAUUUCUGACAGCAGGGCUUGCUAACGGGGUUAAGGGUACAGCAGGGCUCGGGGGAAGCCUGAUCGCCCUUCCUUCUCAACUUGCUCGUGUUUUCAGCUUUCAAAGAAAAUUUGCUAUUUGCUUGAGCUCCUCCACUAGAUCCAAUGGCAUCGUAUUUUUUGGAAAUGGCCCAUAUGUUUUGCUUCCUGGUAUUGAUGUGUCUAUGUCUCUUAUUUAUACACCACUUAUCAAGAAUCCAUUUGGCAUUGGAUCCGUCCCAUUUCUGAACGAGCUCUCUUCGGAAUACUUCAUUGGAUUAAAAUUGAUCAGAAUCAACGGAAAAUCAGUGCAACUAAAUAGAACUUUGCUAUCAAUUGACAGGGAAGGUAAUGGUGGAACCAAAAUCAGCACCUUUAGACCUUACACUGUAAUGCAGACUUCGAUUUACAAUGCUUUGAUUACUGCUUUCAGAAAAGAACUAGCCAAUGUCACUAGAGUGCUUCCGGUAGCACCAUUUGGGACAUGCUUCGACUCUAAGAACAUUGGUAGCACGCUCGUGGGGCCUGCUGUUCCACCCAUUGAUCUUGUCUUUAAAGGCAACAAAGUGUACUGGAGUAUUUUUGGUGCAAACUCAAUGGUGCAGGUUAAUGAAGGUGUAAUGUGUCUCGGAUUCGUGGAUGGAGGGGAGAAUCCCAUGACAUCAAUAGUCAUUGGUGGACAUCAAAUUGAGGACAAUCUUCUGCAGUUUGAUCUAGCUAGAUCUAGGCUCGGGUUUAGCUCUUCGCUCUUGUUCAGGCAAACAACCUGUGCCAACUUCAACUUUACAUCUCUCGCUUAAGGGUUCUGUUUCAUUUUUCUCAUUCAGAAUAACAUCAAACUAUAAAAUAAAUUCUUGAACUCUUUCUGAUUUUGUUCUGUUCUCAUACAACUGCACGUUUUUUUCUUCGUGUUCCUGUUUUUGCUUUUCAUAUCGCCUAAAAGUUAGCAAAGUAGUGGAUAUUAGUAACUAAAAGUAUGUUCUUGAUUUUGCUUGGAAAUGAUAUUAACAACUGCACCCCCUCCAACCUCCACCCCAUCCCAAAACAAAAACAUUGUAAGUGUUAUAUAAUUGAGAAACAGUUGGACAGUAAAGGUCAACCUAUUUUCCUUAAACAUUAAAGAAGCAUGAGUUACUUAUAAUCCCUUUGAAAGAACACAAGGAUUGCGUUGAAACAAACAGUCCCCAACUUCUGCAACGUUAUAAACUCCUCAAUCGAAAUGUGUAUUCCUAACAUAGAAAUAAAAAUGCAAAAGUGCGAAAGGAUUCAACAUUAAACUACAAUUCAUUAGGCCUGUGGAACUCAAAAUCCAAUUCCACGAGCACGAAAAAAUGCAGCAAAGUAUGAAAGCACCAUUUCGGGAACUGUCAUCGACUCCUAACAUUUUAGGUAGUACAGCCUCAAGAAGCCAGCCCAAAAAUGACCUAGAAAAUGGAGAUUCAAUGAUAAAUGAAACUCUCUUCAACUCUCUUCAUAAAAUCGACAAAAGUCUUGUGCGUAAGGUACAUGUCUACAAAAGAAUCUCCCAUAUUUGCUCGUAAAAUCCAUCUUUUCAUCGUCUAAAUCUGCAGGUAUUGGCAGAGGCAUUAGGGACAUUCGUGCUAAUGUUCUGCAUUUGCGCGAUCAUAGCAAUAAUGCAUUUAAUCGGAUUGGAAGCAGGCCUAAUGGAAUAUGCAGCCACAGCAGCACUAACAGUAACUGUUAUAGUUUUCUCCAUAGGAGCAAUUUCUGGAGCCCAUGUCAAUCCUGCUGUCACAAUUGCCUUCGCAACUGUCGGCCCAUUCCCAUGGUCCGAGGUAGUUCCAAGUCCAAAACUUGUUAAAUUUGAAGAUUCGGAUCGAGAAAUUGAAUUUCAAAUUUAUUUCCCUUUUUCUUUGAAGGUUCCACUCUAUAUAUUGGCACAAAUUGGGGGAUCUACUUUGGCAACUUAUAUUGCAAGAUUAGUAUAUGGCAUUAGAUCAGAGCUUGUGAUGACCAAACCACUCCAAGGAUGCACUGCAGCUUUCUGGGUGGAGCUUAUUGCAACUUUCAUAAUUCUUUUCCUCACUGCAUCCUUGUCAAAUGACCCUCAAUCUGUAAGAUUCUGUCAAUUCUACUCGAGUCAUUUUACGUUCGACUACACUUAUCCUGUGAUAUGUUCGGUUUAGAGUUAUAUCAGACAUGUUGCACAUAUUAGGAUAUUCGAUUUACAGUGUUCCUAGUAAUAUUUCUUCUGGUAUGAUAUAGUGCAAUUUUUGCAGAUAGGACAGGUGUCUGGCUUUGUUGUCGGGGUGGCCAUUGGACUAGGAGUGCUAAUUUCUGGGUAAAGCAUAAAUAAUUACUUAUUACAAACUAACUAGAACUCACCAGAUUCACUUAAGUCGAUUAAAUUAUCAAAUGCAGGCCUGUUUCAGGUGGGUCGAUGAAUCCAGCGAGAUCGUUAGGACCUGCACUUGUUUCAUGGAAAUUUGAUGAUCACUUAUGGAUAUAUUUAGUAGCACCAACUAUAGGAGCCAUUGCUGGUGUUUUUGUGUACCGGAUUUUACGACUACAAGGUUGGUCUUGUGAGUCGAGUCAAGCCCGAAAAGGAAGUGAUUCUUUACAUUAGGUUGUAGCAUAGGCCAGCACGGUCGUUUCGAUUCUUUAUCUUCCUUGUACGCUUGCAUUUACGUCUAUGAGUGUUCAAAUUUCCAAAUGUGUUUACGAAUCAAAUUUUGUCUAAUCUUAUGUGAAAACAAAGCCUUAAUCGGACAGUCUCUAUUUAAAUUGCUUUAUUUUAAACUUUUUUUUUUCUCUGUUUGGUUGUUUUCUCUUUUCCUAUAUGAUAUGAGAUAUUAUUCUUCUACUUAACAAGGCCUAUCAAUGGGCCUAACGACAGUAGAGAUAAUGCUCCGUCAGCCCAAGAAAAUCCAUCAAAUAUGGGAGAAUUUACACCAAUAGCACUAGAUAAGAGUGAAUACGGUUUAGUUUGGCGGUUUAAGACAAAAUUUCAAACCAAACCAUUUAAAACAGUUUGAAAUUUUUCCAAAUCAAACCAAAACCACUUUGAUUACUAAACUAAACAAAUCCAAAUCAUUUAUCAUUUUUUUCUGUUUGGUUAUGUUUAAAACUGCGGUUUAAUAAAGAAAAAAUUAAUCUAUAUCAAAUAAGUUAAAUAAUAAAUAUUAUUCUAAAAUUUCAUGUUAAAACAUAAAUUGUAUUAUUAAAAAAUUGCAAAUCAAAGUUAUAUAACUAUAAUUAUUAUAAUGCAACAACAUGAUAUAAAUAUUUUAAACUCUUAAUCGCUACUAAUGGCGUCCAUUUGCAAAUGUAAUACAUGAUUCAUUUUCUUAAUAAAUAUUAAAUAUAGUACAUGAAUUCAUUGAUUAUAGUUAAAUAAUAUAAAAUGAUUAAUAAAAGAAAAUGAACAAAAAAAAAUCAAAUACAAAACAACAACAUAACUACCAAUAAAAAUAUAAAAAUCAAACCUUUUUUUUUUUUUUAGGUGAAUCAUUCAAAGCUUAUACUUCAUCUAAAUAUUGGCAAUUUAUUUUAAAGAAGCCCGAAAAUCAUUAGAACAACCAAGCUACUUCGUAAGCGGUUUGGUUCGGUUCAAAACCAAAAUUUUGACGGAACCACGUGCAACCAAGCCAAUGGUUUCUGGAAAACGAUUUCGGUUCGAUUUUACGGUUUAGCACCUUCGUUGUUCAGCUCUAACACUAGAUGGGCAAAAAAAUGGAUUAGAUACUCUCUUUUCUUUUCUUUUUUCUUUUUUUAUUGGGUUAAGGUAACUAUAUUUUACUCUAGUGUCAAUCUAGUAACGAUACUUCAAUUUUUUUUUACGGUUAACUAUAAUGUAAUUUAAUUUUAAAUCAGAUAACUCCGUUCAAUUUCAUCACCGAUACACGAAUUAGGGUGAUGGAAAUUUUUUAUCUAUGAAAUAAUGAAGCAUUUCACGUAUUUCACUGAAAUUGUACAUAUUUCAUAUAAGUAGCUAAUAAUUAGGCAGAUGGAAAUUUUUUAUCGAUUGUCGCAUUAUCGAUUUCUGUCAAGAGAAUUGGACAAAGUAUAGUUACUUGAUUAAAAUCAUAUUAAAGUAUGGUUAUUCGACUAAACAAAAAUGAACUACAGUUAUUUAAAAUGAGGCGAUACAUAAAAGACUAGUAAUAUAAUUAACAACUUAACUUUACUUCAAUCCUGUAACGCAAUAUGCAUCAUGCUACUGAACCAUGGCGAAACAACUAGGUAUUGUGUUAACGUAGCAAUAUGAGCGAUUGUGUCCUAGGGCAUGUUAGGCGUGACUUUUGCUUUUACUUUUUGUAGAAGAGCUUUUGGAGAAAACUAUAUAUAUUUUGUUUGAAGACUAAUUUUUCAAAAAGUUUCUUGUUUUGAAAGUGCUUUUUUAAAAAGUCGCAUUGCACCAAUUUCCUCUAAAAGCUCUUUUAAUUAAAAGAAAUACUUUUAUAAAAUUAUUCAAACAAGUUCGAAAACAAUUUUUGAAUCUUAAAAACGCUCUUUAACUUUUCCAAAAUCAUGACUAAUGAACCCUUAGUAGAAGCAAACUAUUCAUUGACAAUUUUAAGGAGGACAGAAUACUAGUUUAUGGUUAAAGCGGCAAAUUAGGGGACAAACGUGAGAGACAAAUGUUUAGUCCAAUUGCUUAAGACAAUUAGUCAUUCUUCAUUCACCCUGAAGUGACAACCAAAAAACCUUAAAAUUUCAUAUGCUGAAGAGAAUACAGAUUAUGAACUGCUGGCCUUGAUUCCGCAAACAAAACAUGAAAACAAAAGUGAUGAAAAAAAUUCCCUCUUUUCUUGUUGCUUUGAAGUGAUAAAAUUGAUUGUUAGAAAGAAAAUAAAAUUAGUAAUACUCUCAAAGUACUCGUGAGGAGACGUCUUAUUAUUAUUAUUAUUUUUUUUUAUGACGGGGAACCUACAGUCGCUACUCUUCGGAUGUACGCUGGGUAAACCCUCGGACUGACGCGAUAGUCUGCAAAUCACGCUAGCCAGGUAAACAGCAUUAGGCAAACCCGAUACGACAGACUCGACCAAGAAAGUGUUGGUAGAGGAAAUCGAACUCGUGAUCAAAGACUUCCGCGCUCACCCACUCCAACAACUCGGCCACCCCAUGAGGGGCGGAGACGUCUUAUUAUCACUUCUACUUUGCCUGAAUUCAAUCAUGUGGAGGUUCUUGAGUCUAUAAGUAUGAGUAAAAAUUUUAAGGUACUUCGAAUCGUCUAAAACUGAGCAUUGUUAUUACAUAAGCAACAAAAUUUGUGGCGGGUUUUUGUCAUAAAAUUUCUUGUAAAUUUUUAUAUAUUUACUUGAGCAACAAUGAAUAAAAAAAAAUGAUUUUCCAUCACAAAAAAAAAAAAAUUAAAGAAAGUCGGUCUAGAAGCUAGUGUUUUGACCUUUUAAGAUUCUGUUACUUUUAACUUAACAACAUAUCAAUUAUUUUAAAGACUCGGGGUUAAAAGUGUUCCACUCAAAUGAGUUGUGACUUGUAAGCUAUGUCCUAUAAAUAAAUAUUGAAGUAUUUUUCUAAAAACUUUAGGUAAAAAAAAUUAAAUGUAACUGUCACAAGCAAUUGGACAAGAUAAAAGUGACUCACCAACUAAAAUUGCCCACUUAUUAUUUCUUAGUAUGGAUUGAGUCAUAUCUUACUAAUUUUGCAAAUUAGCAAUGAUAAAAUAAAUGAAAAGUAAUUACAAUUUGAAGUAAUGGACAUAUGAAUUAAUUUUUUAGCCUUUAUGGAUGUGGAUAGGUGAAUAUCCCAAUGGUCCCCCUCCAACAAGCAUGGGAUAAGCACUAAAAAUAAUCCUAUAGAGUUUCAUCAUACUUUUGUGGGUAUUUUAAAUUAAAAGCUUGAAAAUUUUUCAGGUAAAAUAAAUAGUGUGGAAGCAUGUGUUUUAUUGAUAGCUUGCUUUGUAAAGUGUAAUAUAUAUAUAGAUGUCAAGUUUCGAAACAAAUCAUGUUGUGAGUCAAUCAAAGUAAAAAUCGAGCUGUGAGAAACCUAACUAUCUUGACUAUGUUUUGUGCAAGUGAGCCCACAAGAACCUUUGAAUUACUUUUCUUAACAAUAUUUUAUUUACAAAUCAUUUUUAUAGAUAAAUUACUUAUUUGUUAAUUUCAUGAUUCAUUUAUUACAUUUGACAAGAUUUUAAUUUCAUAUUGGAGUUUCACUAAAUUAAGGUAUUAUGAAUGCUAAGAAUCUUAUCUUACAUGUCAAGAUUAAAGUUUCAAAAUGAUAAGAUCGUCCUAUUAAAUAAUAUUUUUCUUUGUAUCCCUAAGUCAUUUUCAAUCUUGGAAGGACCCCAAGGUCAAUGGAAAUGGGAAGAGAAUGGGGCUCACAUUUGCCUUAAAAGGGAUUGCCAUUGGAAUUUGAUAGAUAGUGUCUUUAUCAUGGGUGCUAUGGUGCUAGUGCUUUUAUUUAAGCCCCUACAACUUUGGUGAAAAUGAUUUCAUACCAUAAAAAUUAGAGAAAUUUGCAAAAAAAGGCUUCUAUUUAGAAUGUAUUUACAUUUUGCAUGACACCACUGUUAUUUGUAAGAAAAAUGUUACACCUCUGACCAAACCACUUCAGAACAACAGUCACACAAUUCCUCAAAGUGACACGUGUCCAUCCAAUGUGGUUUUGAAGUGAUGUCCACUCCUGACGACCUCAACAUGAUUAGUGGUGACAAUGGGCCAAGCCGGCUUAACCUCACUAGCUUGGCUCGCGCUCGUGACAAGUCGAGCUCGUGGCUCGUUGUGCGAGCUUGGGCUCAGCUCGUUGAUUUUGGGCGAGCUCGUCAUCUUUUCCCUUUUUUUUUUAAAUAGAGAAAAACACAAAUAAUGCAAUGAAAACACUUUUUAAAAAAUAAAAUAAAAAGUGUUAAAAAAAUACAAAUAAUUUAAUGAAGACACUUUUUUCUUUUUUCUUUUUUAUUUAUAUCAUAUUGUAAUAUUUUUUAUAAAGUAUAAAAUAUUUAUAUAAUGAAGACGAAUUAUUUUUUGAAAUACAUUUACAAAAUAUAUUUUUUUUAUUUCCUUUUAAAGUAGAUAGAAUGUAAACCCUCAUCUUUUAUCCAGGCUUGGGACCGAUUACAUCAAUUUUAAGUAGACAGAGUUAAAAAUUGUAUACGAACAACUUGUUGUAACGUGUACAAUUUUUAAAAAAAAUUAAAUUUAACGAUUAAAAAAUAAGGAAAUUUUAAUUAAUAUAAUUAAAUCAAAUAUCACUUACCUAACGAUAUGCAAUUUCAGCAUAUUUAUCAUGAAGUCGAAAAUGAGCGUCCGGUCAAUUCUUCACGCACAUUAAUGCUUUCAAAACAUCUUCUUUCAAUUGGCUCCUGACAUCGGUUAAAACCCUUUUACCUGCACUAAAAGCAGACUUCGAAUCAACAGUGCUAAUCAAAGGUGUCAGCAGAUCUUUCGCAAUUGCAGAAACAAUUGGCCAACAUCUUUCAUACUUUCGCUAGAAUUUAAUUACUUCUUCUGAAUUUUUUUUAAUUUUUAUGUCUAUUGGCAUAUUAUGAUUGAAGUAAUCAAUUAAUUCGGCAGGCAUCGUAUUUUGAGUUGCAACCGAUGUUUGAUAAGAUGCAAAUGUAGACGACAUGACACUAGAUGAACACAUUGCAGUUGCAUCAUAUCUAAAUGUUUUAAUACCUUGAAAUAAAUUCAUUAUUUCGGCAUCAUCUUAUUCAAUUUCAGUCGAAAGAGUAGGUGCAGAGAAUACCCGACUAACAUUUGCACCCAUUCUUUCCGUAUAUAAAUCAUACAUUCCACAUAAUGUUUGCUCUAAAUUCUUAUAGAUGAUAGGUGUAUCAAAUAUUAAAGUUUUAUUGAUUCGAUCAAUUACGUAUUUAGUUCCUGAAAUAUUAUAUCGGGAGUCCAUUGCGCAUGUUAAAGGAAAUAACAUUGGCAGUUCUUCUCAAUAUUUUCUAAACUUUAAUUUCAUAGCAAUUAUAAUUUCACUAAAAGUAGAAUCAUUUUUAUAUUUAUGAAAUGUUCUUGCAAUUAUAUAAAGACGUUCAAGUACCAUACAGUUUGUGGGAUAAUAAACGCCGGAUAAAAUCUUUGUGGUCUCAUAAAAAUAUGUCAAAAAAUCGUUUAACUUUCAAAACUAAAACCCAAUCGAAUUCAUUCAACAUACCAUCGUCAUCACUUCUAACGUGUCUAUUGUUAUAAAAGUCAGUUAUUAAAUGUUUGAAACCUUUACAUGACUUUAAUAGCAAGUAAGUAGAGUUCCAUCUAUGGCCUACGUCGUCAACAAAUGUUUUAACAGUCGUCACCCCUAGUUUGGCACAAAAUUUUUCAAAUGCUUGUUUUCUACUAUGAGAUAUCGUAAUAUAUACUAAUGCAUUCCUAAUCAUUUGAAAUUCAUCAUUUAUAUAUUUUAAGCCAUUUUGCACAAUUAAAUUCAAAAUAUAACAUACACAACGAAUAUGAAAUAAAUACCCACCAAAAUCAUGUUGAAGUAUCCUACACAAUUUAUCGACGACUACUUUAUUAACACUAGCAUUAUCAAAAGUAAAAGACCGAAUUUUAGUCUCGCGAUUAUAUUCUCUAAUAAUACUGAUAAUAGCAUUAUAUAUAUUAUUAGCAUUGUGAGAAAAUUCAAUAAUUCUAAAAGCAAUAAUUUUUUUAUGUAUGCACCAAAAUGGAUCUAUAUAGUGUGCGGUUGCAGCUAUAUAUACUCUUUUAUUAACCUCUUCCCAUAUAUUAAAAGUUAAAGAUAUAACAUUCCCAUAUUGUUGCAAAUCCACAAUUAUUUGUUGUUUUGAAUCAUUGAAAUAAUGUAUUGUAUCGGCACGAAUAGUGUUUCGACUUACCUCAAAGUACCUUGGUUGCAGAUAUUCUUUCACGAACGAGACGAAGUGUUGGUUGUCGGCACUAGCCAGAGGCAAAUCAAUGACGACAACAAAUUUCACCAUUCCGGUUCGAGUAUUGUCCUCCGAAUACACCCACGUGGAUAGGGAUGAAAUUGUUGAACCGGCGCCUGGACUGUCAAAUUGCAGUUAUGUUUGACCAGUUGAAAGAAGUCCAUGUCUGGCCGCACAUACUUUGUAGUGGCGAUUGAGAUGGGUGGUACCAAUUCCUUUUUGUCAUACCAAUCUUUAUUAGCAAUAUUUACAUACUAUUUUAGAUUAUGUAAGGCCAUCGACGACUUUUUUCGUUGAAAUCAACUUAAAGCGAUUUCAACAUUUUGCUUAUUUUUUUACCUUUCACUUUCCCCUCGCAUAUGGGAUGUUUAAUUGGGCAUCUUCGUCCCCAUGUUCCGUUUCGAGAACGUUAAUAUCAUCCAAAUCAAUUGGAUUGUGGCUUCUCUGAUCAUGAAUGUGAAUAUCUUCUGGUAUGGGUACGGCAUCCUAGGCGAUACGGGAUGUGGGCCACAGGAGCUUAUUCGUCAAUUUCCAAAUGAGUUUAUUCGAUAUGGGAUGUGGACCACAUGGCGAAUCGUCUAGGAUGCUGCAAUGGUCAAUUUCCCUGCCACAAAGUCGAUGAGCGGGUCGGCCCUUUUGAUAUCCUUAAACAUGACACGCUGCAAGGUAAAGAGUAGAUCCACUGAAAUAACCGAAGUGUCCCUCAACUCCGAAGCGUUGGGCAUUCCGAGGUACCCCCUUAACAAAAUCUCUCCAUCGCCAUUGUCAGAAAGAUAUCUGUCAGGAUCCCCUCUGCCUCCAAGGAUCAAUUGAUGUGACGUCUCCAUAGAUCUAGUUGAUGUGACAUAUCGACUUUAUGUCAACUCAACUCAGCAGAACUAAUUGCCCGCCCCACUUUAGAUGCGGCUGAUUGAUGCCUAUGAGCGGAUGCCUACACUGUUAGAUGUAUACACGUGUCCCACAUCCAACGGUGCUCUACGUCUAUAAAUAUCCAAGGCUUGGCAAUAGACAAAGGUAAUAAAACUCACACAACUUAGCUCUCCAUACUAAGAAACAUAUAUUCUCCUUCUCACUCUCUUACACAACUUGAGCACUGUUCCGAUCACCCAACGCUGACUUGACCGUUGGAGUGUAUGCGGCUGCCACCACCACCACUAUCGCUGGUUCCGGCCGUGUGCUUCUGACCGUGCGUUGUUGUGCACAGAAAGGAUUACGUGGAGAAGCUAUCCAUUGGCCAUGUGGAGGAUCCAAUUCUCGAUACCGAUGCAAGUAGCUUAACAAACAAAAUACCCUUAAUUAGAAAUAACAAAUCACAACUACAUUUUAUAUUCUUUAACACUUUACAUGCCAUGUGUUUAACUCCUAUUAUUAUUAUUAUUUUUUAAAUUAAUUACUACAAGCUUCAGAUAGUUUAUUAAUUUUUUUUCCUUAAAAGAUGGUCUUCAUUUGUUGUGAGGUUUACAAAAUGUUUGCUCUCUUAUUUUUUAAAUUACAGAGCGAAAACGAAAAUCUAUGAAAAAGACAAACCUUGAAAAAAUAAUAAAUUAAAAACGUGUUGGAAAAUAUAGCAAAAACUUAAUUUGAAUUUUUUCCAACAUUAUUAAGUGGACAUAUGUAAAUUAUUAAUUUUUACCAUUCUUAUAUAAGUUUAUUCAUGGUAAUUUAUAUUUAAUGAGUAAAAAUAACAAAAAAUUAAAAUAAAAUGCUUUAAAUCAACCAAGAUGAUUCAUAGCUACUUCCUUUCGCGGCACUAGGCUUUCAACUCGGUCAAUACUCCCUUUUGUUCCACCUAGGAUAGUCUAGAAGACUUGUAGAGAGAUUGAUAUGAAACACAUGCCCAAUUAACAAAUGUAAAGCCCCCUACAAAUAAAGAGGCUGGUGGGGAGUGAUUUUGAGAAUUGAUUUUUUAAUCGUUAGAAGAAAAGUGAGAUCCACCCGUGAGAGAAGAAGUCAAAUAUAACGGCUGAAAUAGUGAAAUAACGGUCAAAAAAAUCAAUUUUUUGGGUGAAAAAAUCGGGCCCAAACAGGCCCAAAAUAAAAAAGGGAAAGACAUUAGACAUCGAUGCAUGCCUCUAAUAGUUUAAACAUAUUCCACCCAAGAAAAUGCAAUAUGAUAUUCAUGAAAGAAGAGUUUCGAUUGAAAAAGGUUGAGCAUAUAUAUUUGAUAAAAUGAUCAAUGCUUUCAUUUUUGCUAUACGCUGCAGGCUAGAUUUUUUACUUAAAAGUCUUUGCCUUAAUCUAUUCUCUUUCGCUAGCUAGAUUUUUGCAGGAAGAAUUGAUCACUUUUUCUUGAUAUUCUCUUCCUAAAGUAUGCAAUAGCUAAUUUGAAAUGCGUCAUUUUUUCGUGGAGCUACCAUACCUAAAAUAAGUCAAAAAAACCUAUUUUGAGCACGUUCAUGUUCCUCUCUUACAUUUUUGUUCAAGCUAGCAACAUGAACUGUGGAUUAAUCAGGGAUAAAGAGAAAGGGUUCAACCAAUAAUUGGCCUCUGCAAUCAUCUCUCUCUUCAUCUAAUCGCUCAUGAAGGUGGGGAAAAAUCAAUCUAUGGAGUUUUGAAGCUUAAAAUAAUUUGUUUAUUUAUUUUAAUUUGAUGUUAUAUCAUCGUACCAUUUUGCAGUUUAACAAUUUUUCAAGAAUUCAUACACGUUUCUUCACAAGAAAAAUUUAAGAAUAGAAGACAAGUAUAUACCGUUAAUAAAAAUAUAAAGAAGACAAAUAUAAUACCGUCAAUAAAAUAUAGAAAUUUUUGUAAAAAUGAAAAUUAAAAAAUGGAAAAUCAAUAGUGUAAUCGAGAUACUUGAAUUAAAAAAAAAAUUAAAUUAAGAAAAAGAUAACUCUAAGCGAUAGGAAAAGAUAGUUCUGGAUUAUAAAGUAAUAUAAAUUAAAAUUAUAAAAAAUUUCUAAAAUAUGUAUAUAUAAUGGAAAAUUUGUAAAAUUUUAUAUUUUUUUCCUACAAAAUGUGUUUGUUGUUACCAAAACGUAUAGUAGACAUGCAAAAGGUAAAUUUACAAAAUAGAGUAUGUAAAUUGUAAAUAUAUUUAUACCUUCAAUGCAGGUUGUAUUUUGUACCAUAAAAUUUAAGAGAACCUUUUUCUUUGGUGACCCCUUAAAAAUGUAUAUUGACCUAUUUGGUACAGAAUAAUUUGAAAUGAACUUCUAAAAUCAAUAUCUUAACAAGAAUAAUUCUACUUCAUAUCUCUCGAAUUUAUUUGUAAAAUAUAUGUUAAAAUGGUUUUUAGUUGAGUUAAAAUUCAUACAAAAUUGGUAUUGUUUUUACUAACAAAAAAGAAAAUUGUGAUAUAAAGCAAAAUAAAAUUGUAAACCUUUCUUUAAUUUAUACCAAAGCUUCACGAAAGAUGUCUAUAAAUUAAUUAUCGAAAAUUUUAGGAAUAAAGCUUCUCUAUUGAUAUCGAGCAAUUACUAAGCAUAUUGAAUAUUCCCGUACAUAGCUAAAUUGAAUAACAUAAAAAAUUAAAAUUCAUAUAUACCAACUUGAAAAAGAGAUGAUGACAAAAUAUAAAUAAAUAACAGAGAAAGGCAAAAUUUUGACUGGCACCAAAACCUGGGGCCAUUGGCAAACUAAUAUAUGGUGGGUGUUAACAUCACCAACUUGAAAAGUAUAAAUAUUUUUUUUUUUGUCCUUUUUCAAUAAUUUAAUAUAAUAUAAUUCAUUUCCUUAUUAGCCACACUCAUUAUACUUUAGUAAGAAUUGGAUACCUAUCACUUUGAAGAAAGCAACAUUUUUUUUUUGGUAAAUAAAUAUUUAUUUAUAUUAGAAGUAAAUGAACCUAAUGAAUAAUGGGGAAAAAAAAUGAUGUAAUCAAUUUUUAAUUUAUCGGGAACAAAAUUUAGUCAUCGCUAUAUAUCAUGACAAUUGAACCAGUAUAAAUAAUAUUGUCAUUGAUAAUUUUAUGUUUUGUUAAAAAGGAUAAAUGAAUCAUAGAUGAAAUUGAGAAUUAUCUAUUGUCAACAAUUAUUUAAUGAUUUUAUAUGCGUAAGGGUCAACAUGACCUAUUUAUUGAUAAUUGUAUUGAAUCGAAAAUAGUAGAUUUUUCUAGACACGCAAGCAAACAAUUCCAAUGAUAUAAUAGAAUCAAAAAUAUUAAAUCUAAAUAAUACUAGUUAAGUUUUAACUGGAAAUAUAUCGAACGAUUGAUAUAGCCAUAGUCCAAUUUUUUAAGAAAAUUUCGAGAAAAAUAUCCGUUGUUAUUUAUGUUGAAAAAUAGUCGAACUUAGCCCCUGUUUGUCAUUCAUUAUUUUGAAAAUUAAAGAGUUUUGAAUGGUAAUUUUUGGAGAAUUUAUAGUUAAAAAGUAAAGAAACUUUAUUGGUUUGUAUGUAGAAUAUUUUAUUGUGCAAACGUGUGGAGAAGAAUAAUAUGAAUCAAGCUACUUGUACAUUGUGCUUUACAUCAUCUUUGAUAUUGUGUCACGUGUUGUCACAUGAUUGAAUAGUUUUUGAAUUCAACACACUUUCCCGAUAAUUUGAAUUUGCAUACAAUGUCAAUGUCAAACACUAUGUACAAAAUGUAAUGUACAAUGAGAUUUAUUCGAAUAAUAUUGAAGUAAAUAAUUUAAAAUUUUAAAUAUGGAAUCAUGUAACAGAGUCAUAUUCAAAUUGUUUGAAAUAAAAUAAUUUAAAAAUAUCAGAAGCAUCGGAUGAACGAGGUAGAGAAUAAAUUCAUGUUGGACCAGAUGGCACUAAAUCACGUGAAUUUAUUCUUAAUUAUCCAAAUUUAUGGAGAAUAAAUCAAGUGUUAAUUAAUUGUAAAUUUAUAGUACACGAACUUGGAUUUUAAUAGUUGUUAUUAGCACACAGAAAUCUUGGGUUCGGUCCAUCCAUAGUUUUGUAUGUUGGAAAGGCGGCUAUGAUUUUUCACGGACAAAACUUGUUCAAUUUGUCGAUUAUUUGUUUGCAAUAAAGCUAUCGAAUUUUAAAAAGUUAAAAAUUACUAUUGCGAUUAAGAGCUUGUUUGGUGGAGAUUUGGUUAACUGAUUUUUUGACCGUUAAAAUAAAAUGGGUCCUACUUAUGAGAGAAGAAUUCAAAAAUGAAGGUUGAAAUAAUAAAAUAACGGUAAAAAAAUUAAUUUUAAUUGAUUUAAAAUCUGUAACAAAUAAGCAUUGAGAUAUUGCUUUUGAGUGUUGAUAAUUUUUUUAAAAGUAUUUUAUCGAAUCAGAAGAGUUUUUGAAUGAACAUCACCCAGAGUGACUAAGUGACUUCUUUAAAAUGCUUUUUCUAAUAUAUUUUCUAAAAUGAAGACCCAAAAUAAAAAAUGGAAUUAUGUCUAGAUUAGCCUCGAGUUGAGCGCAUGGAGCCCUAAUAGAAACAAAGGCGAUGUACCAAAAGUUGUUGUGGUAGAAUGUCGAAGCGAUAUGCUCUCGUCUUGGAUAACAUCUUCCAUGACGUUGCUUUGUCCCAAAGAUCUUUCGUACAAGAUCGUUUAUACAUCUAAUUGAUUUGACAGUUCUACAGUAGACAUUUUUGGAUCAACUUUUCAUGUGGUAGCCCUAAAAACGUAAGGUAGCCAUGUUUCAGUUUAUUUAAGGUUGCAUCUAGUCGAGAAUAGUUGGAUUCGACGCCUAUAAAGUUAACCUAUGAGCCAUUAAGAUGAAGCCGUACAUUGCACAUCCAAUAAUGUCCACUUCUUCCCUUCCAUCAUAAAAACUCAACAUUUGGUGCCAUCAAUUCUACACCACCUCGGAACCUUAUAUACUCCAUGCUAAUAUCACCUUCUCCCGCACCCAUCAUUGAUCUCUCUGUCAUCUGACAAACAUGAAACAUCCACGCCAACAACUUGGCACAAUCUUUUUCAUCUUCAUUUUAAAGACGCCACACUGGAUAACUCCCUCAUCCGUCCCAGCAUUCGCCUAAUUACCUCAAGUGCGUGACACGUCAUCGACAGCCUCGGAAAAUCCAAAUAUAUCCUCCGAGUGGGACCCACCUAUUCCACCCAUAACGUUAUCCUAACACGGGAAUGAUCGCCCAUCUCUGGAGCCCAAGUCGACAUGAUUUGCCCACACUUUGAAAACGAAGGCCCGAACUUAUUAUUCAAUUAGCAAGUUAGUCCUCAGUCUCCUUGCUCCUCAACUAUAAAUAAAGAUAGUGUACUUUUUGGUUUGUACAACUCAAGUUGGACCUUAUUAUAUGUAUAUCAAGUUUUACAUAAUGAAUUAUAUAAUGUCACAUAUCAUUAAAUCAUUUAUCAGUUUAAAAUUUAAUCCCUUGUAUACCAUUUUAUAUAAAAGCAGAACAAUCCAAUAUGUUGUGCUCUACAUAAUCUCUCAUGUUAAAAUUUUUAUUUAGUUCUCGUUUGGCCCCCAUUCUCAUUCUUAUUCUUUUUUUUCUUUUAUUUUCAAUUGCACAAUCUUUCAUAAAAUAAUAUUAUACAGGAAUAAAAAAAUCAAUUUUUUCAACCACACAUUUUUCAAAAAAACACUAUUCGAAUUGGAAAGAAUAGGGGUCAAACGAAGGCUUAAUCUUUUCCCUUCACAUUAUUUUAUUUAAUCCCUUAUAUACUAUUUUAUAUACAAGUAGCACAAUUCAAUAUGUUUUAUCCUACAUUUCUCAAUAUCGUAUCAAGUUGAGAAACAAAGAAAAAUUUAUAAAGUGUCUAUAUAAAGACCACAUAUUAAUUUAAUCGAUUUUUAAUAGUUUUACGGCCUAUUUGGCAUGAUUAAGAAAUCAAAAGUUACAUCCGAAAUAAAAAAAAAAAAAAGAAGAAGAAGAAGUUAUUUUUGAAUAUAUUUAGAUAAUUUUCUUGAAGUAUUUUAUUUGAUUAGAAUAAUUUUUCGAAGAAAUUAAUUACCAUAACAUUUUUAGAAAGCUCUUUUACAGAAGGCAAAAGCUUGUCGAAAAGGACAUAAGAAUUAUUGGUGCAACUAUGACAAAAAAUUGUUCUUUCUUAUAAAGGUCAGUGCCGAGUUUGCUAUUCGAGCAAUAGUUUAGGAUCAAAUAGUAAACAUUUUACCAAGACAAUAGCUUAAAUUUGAUAUUCAAUGACCAAUUUGCCCUCAUGUUCUUUCUAUAAAUCCCAAACCCCCUUCUCCUCAUUCCUUCCAUUCCAUUAGCCACUCUCUUCAUUUCCAAUAGUAUAUCCGCGUUUUGUGUGUGUGUUUUUUAUAUUUUGGAGAGAAGAUGUUGGGAGUGUUUAGCAGCUCGAUAGUUUCGCCGCCGGAAGAGCUGGUGGCGGCCGGAAGUAGGACGCCGUCGCCGAAGGUGACAGCGGCUAAGCUGAUGUCCAGGUUCCUGGAGACGAACUCAUCGGCGGUGUCCAUGCAGAUUGGCGAUGAUGUCCAGAUGGCUUACACUCACUGCAACCAGUCGCCUUUACAGCCCAGGUAUACUAUACACGCUUUAAAAAUUUGAUUUUAAAAUACUAAAAAUAAUUGGGGAUGAUACUGAACAUUAAGUUUGGUGAUACUGAACAUUAAGUUUGGAUUUAUGGUGAUCAAAUAUUGGGAUGAUCUGAUGAGUUCAUGCUUGCUGAUGGUGCUUUAUCUCAGUGAAGAAAGGAAUUUUUAAUUUUACGAUCUUGAAUUGUUUCAUUUUUAUUAGUAGUUUCAAAUUUAAGAUUAAUUAAGGAAUUUGAAAAGUAUAAGGAUGAAAUUAACUUUUAGUACUAAUUAUAAACAGUCGAAUCACGAAAUUUAUCCAAAUUGUGAGUCGGUGAGACGAAAGAAAAGAAAAGAAAAGAAAAGGCAUUUUCGUAAUUUUCUCUGUUUUUGGAUUUUAUUCCAUGAUUCUGUAACUUUAUAUAGAUAUUGGUAUCUGUAUCAAAUAUGUAUGUAAUUUUCUCUGUUUUUGGAUUUUAUUCCAUGAUUCUGUCACUUUGUAUAGAUAUUGGUAUCUGUAUCAAAUAUGUAUGUAUGUAUGCGUGCAUAUAUUUUAUGUAAUUUCUGGAUUUUUACUUUACUCUGCAUACUUCUCUAUAGAUCCACGUGUGACAGAGUCCAUUUAUAGCCCAUUUGGCAAAUUUAUAAAUGGUUUAUAAGGUGGAAUAGUGGCCCUAAAAGAGAGUGAGGAUAACAAUUAAUAGUGAUGAAUAAAUUAAUGUUUGACUUUUGAUUGAAUUAUAAACCAUAUAUUUGUAUCCAAACGAUUAAUUCAUAUGGGAAAUAUUUCUGUACUACACGAAGAGGCAAGAACCUAUAUAUUUUUCCGAGCUUUAGAUAAUAUGAUUUUUCUUCGUUUCGGAGUUUAAUCAAAGUUAAUAAUUGAAGAAGAUCGAAACCUGGCAAUUCUUGAUCUUGCAUUAGGAGCAAGGAUUAUUACUUGAAACCAAAUUUUUUGUAAAUUGCAAGUGAAGAGUCUGAAGACUGAUAUUGACCUGUAUUGCCUAGCUUGAUUAAUUGAUAAAAGUCAUGAAAUAUAUUAUUAAAAUUAAUUGUUAAUUUUGAUGUAGAUUUUUAUCAACUUUUUAGUUAAAUUAAAUGGGUUAAAUCCAUCAAUGAUCACCCAACUUUGUACUUAAUGUCACCAUAGGCACCUAAUUUUAUUUUGUUUUAUCAUUGCUACCAAACUUUAUACUUAACAUCCAUGGUCAUCGAAGUUGAUAUUAUUUCAUCAUAGCUGCCCAAUUUCAUACAACGUUACACUGUGGCCACCCAACUUUUGCAUUAUAUAUAUAAUACGAAGUUAUCAUUUUACCUCCUUUAAAUUAGUGAAAAGGGUGAAAAGAAGUUGGGAGGUCAUGGUAAAACGUUAUAUGGUGAAACAUUAUAUGAAAUUGUGUGGCAAUGGUGAAACGUUAUAUGAAGUUGGGUAGCCAUGAGGACACUAAGAGCCUGUUUGGAAGUGAUUUUUUUCCCCCCAAAAAAUUGAUUUUUUUACCGUUAUUUCAUUAUUCCAGCCGUCAUAUUUGACUUCUUCUCUCGUAGGUGGACCUCAUUUUUUUCUAACGGUCAAAAAAUCAAUUCUCAAAAUCACUCCCAAACAGAUUCUUAAGUAUAAAGUUGGGUGAAAUUUGGUGGAUUUAACCCUGAACUAGAUAGGAGCUUAGCCUAUGUUUGAAAGCUUCGUUCUUACCCUUCCAGGAAUAUUUAAAUAUACAAUUGUCUUGUAAGGUGGGAUGAUUAUUGACUUUCAUCUCUAAAUUUGAUGGGCCAACAUAUGUUCUUGAACAUAUUUUAAAUGGAGCUUCAGCUUUUAAUUAUUCGUGUGGUGAGAAUUGACAUUAAUUUGAAUGUAAAUUGUAUGACAAAUGGCAGAUCAUUUGCAGUCAAGGACGACAUGUUCUGCUUGUUUGAAGGAGCGCUCCACAACUUGGGGAGUCUGAAACAACAAUACGGCCUUGCAAAGUCUGCCAACGAGGUACUUUUGGUGAUUGAAGCCUACAAGGCACUUCGUGACAGGGCACCUUACCCUGCAAACCGAGUGGUUGGCCACCUCGAGGGGAGUUUCGCGUUCAUGGUAUUCGACAAGUCGACUUCCACUUUAUUUGUGGCUACCGUGAGUAUUCCCACCUACCGAAAGCCAAAUUUUAAUCUUUAUUUAGUGGUCUUUACUGACAGUUAAGUUGGUGGUGGCGUGACAGGACCAAUUCGGCAAAGUUCCUCUCUAUUGGGGGAUCACUGCUGAUGGAUAUGUCGCAUUUGCUGAUGAUGCUGAUUUGCUAAAGGGUGCUUGUGGCAAGUCACUUGCUUCCUUCCCACAAGGUAAUUUCCUAAAAUAAUAAUUUUUCGAUGAACAAUAUCAAAAUAGAAUAACGAGAAUAGUUGAUUGUGCCAACAAUGAUAAAUUUGGGAUUUUUCUCAAUAACUAAUUCUCUGUGUUAACAUAAUUGUGUUGGUUGAUUUUUCAGGUUGCUUCUUUUCCACUUCAGACGGAGAACUUAGAAGCUAUGAGAAUCCCAAAAAUAAGAUCACCGCUGUUCCUGCUACCGAGGAAGAGAUAUGGGGAGCGAAGUUCAUGGUAAGAUGCUUUAUUUUAUUUUUUUUCUGUGGAAUUAUUGUUUCGAAUCCUUCAAGGCUACUUAUGGAAUCUAUGUGAACAUAGACAUUAUUGAACAUCAUGAGGUGGAUAAAACAACAUUGUAUUAUUAUGAUCACGACGUUGGACGUAGACAAAACCACAUAAUUUUUUCCUUGUUUGGCCGAUACUUUGUUGUCUGACAACUUGUGUGGAUGAUAUUCAGGUGGAAGGGCAAGGCGUUUUGGCAGCCACAAAAUAGAAGAAGGAAUUAUCUUUAUUGAAAAUGAUAGAGCUCAAAUUGGUGGGAAACGAAGGGAAAAAUGAGUGGCAUGUAAAUGAAUGGAGGAGAUGUGCUUUGUGUCUUGUCAAGUAUUAGAAAUGAAAGAGGGAAGUUUGUAUUGAGAUAUUCCUUAUCUGCUUUCUUGUAACAGUGUUUAAUCGUUGUAUAGCCUCCUUUUAGUAGUGUAAUAAUGUUUGAAUCGAAGUUUGAAACUGAUCUUGUAACAGUGUUUAAUCGUUGUAUAACCUCUUCUUUUAGCAGUGUAAUAAUGUUUGAAUCGAAGUUUGAAACUGAUCUUGAACUGCGUUUUUAUUCAUAUCGACUUAUUGAGUGUGGCGAGAGAGGGAAAUGGGUCGGAAAGAAAAAAAGUCUCGAGGUCAGGCAUUGCGAGUCGCUCUCAAUUGACGAGGAGUCACUUGUGGCUCACGUUCGAGUAGUGGUUUAUUACCUUCUCAA